UCAGCCAAUCUUCUAGCUUCUUCUCAGCUCUCUCUCUCUCUCUCUCUCUCUCUCUCUCUCUCUCUCAUACUAGAAGGAAGCCUUUUCCGGUCAAAUGGCGAGGAAGCCAACGAAGCCUUGUCCGAAACUACCAUCAUUUUUCAAGGUCCUACUGGGUGAUGACUUCCCUCGGCAGCUGGUAACAUCCUAUAUAUGCUAGCCCUCUCUUUGACUUUAAUUUUUUUUUUUUUCUUUCUUUCUUUCAUGUAUUAGUAUUUAGUACUUUGACUUCAUACAAUUUGCACUCUGUGUAUUGAAAAUGUAUGGUCAGUAAAGAAGCUUGUACACUUUGCAGUGUCUACCACCUGCCUUUAUGGUGCAUUACAAUGGACCAUCUCACUGCAAAUGUGCCCUUAGAGGCCCUACUGGAAAAUGGUGGACAGUGGGUUUGGAAGAGAGGGAGGAUGGGUUUUACUUCCGUGAGGGUUGGCGGCGUUUCUUGACAGAUCAUUCCUUAAAAGUUGGAUACUUUUUGGUGUUUGAUCAUCAAGGUGGCCCAAAGUUUGAUGUUACAAUCUAUCAUCCAAUGGGCUGUGACAUGAGGAGAAGUAUAGGCAACUCUGAUAAGCCUGGAAAGAGACCCGCAACUGCUGCUGCUGUGGAAGAAACAUCAACUGGAUCCAUCGUGUUCAGAUCAGAGCAUCCAUGCUUCAUAAGAAUUCUAGGCAAGAACCAGUACCGCAUGGUGAGUAGUACUUUUGUCAGCCAAAUUUCUAUGCCAAUUAUGUUUUAUCAACGUUAUCCCUUAUUUGUGAUUGGAAGUUAGUAACAGAAAUCUUUGAAGGGUUCAAUCGAUUGAGCAUUUUCUUUCCCUCUAAUGAUGUUCCAUAUUGCAGAACAUCCCAAAGGAGCUAGCUGUAGCUGAAGGCCUCAUUGGAAAGGAGAAGGUGAUGCUUAAAGAUCCAAAUGGGAGAUCAUGGAACGUUAAGCUUAGGCUCGACAAUAAGGAGCAUCAUGGUGGUCGUUUGCUCAUGACACAAGGGUUGGUAGCAUGUUGGCAAGCGAACAACAUUUCGCUCGGGGAUACAAUCGUUUUUGAGCUUGUCAAGAGGAGUGAAAUGGAGGUUCAUAUUUUCAGAACUGGAGCAGGAGGAAAUAUGCCUUCUGUUGUGCUUGAUGCCUCCAGUAGUUUCAAACAUUAAACCUAUAGUUUACUUCAUUGUCUAAUGUUCUGUUGCGCUGGAUAGCAUGUAUUUUGCUCCCAUGAUUAAAGUUGUAUGCGCCUUUGUUUGGUUAUGAAAAGGAAAGCCUAUCAAAAUUAGAAUUGAUUGAAAAGUUAAGAUGGACACCAAUCUCUGAUAAAUCAGCUUUCAAAGUUGAAGAAAGUGAGUGCACAAUGCACAUGCACGACUGAAAUAUCAUGGAUUGGCUUUUUUGUUUCUUUGUUUCUUACAUUUCCUGUUUCUUUUAUCUCUGUUCCUUUUGCUUUAAAAUGACUGCAAUAUUAUGGAUUGUUUAACUGAUUGUGGUAUGGGUGAGGAAUUAUUAGGAAGUUAGAACACAAAGAAACAUUUGCUACUUCACCUUACCUCUAUGGCUCAAUGACCAGUAGCACAAUUUACAGACUCGUCAAACUCACACAUUUUAUGGCUUCUGUUUUACAUACAACUAGGCAUCAGUUUCCUACCUAUCUCAAUUGUGUAUAUCUUGUGAAUAUUAUGUUAUUGAAUUUUGUAGAGUAUACCACCCGAAUUUAUGAACUAUGUCAAUGGACGAUUGCCUCCAACAUGUACUCUUAGAGGUCCUAGUGGAGAAUGUUGGACAGUGGGUUUGGAACUGAGAGGGGAUUGAUUUGUCUUCCAUAAGGGUUGGCAGGGUUUUGUGAAGGAUCAUUCUUUGGAAAUUGCAAAUUUUUUGGUUUUUGAUUAUGGUGGCAAAUCCAAGUUUGAUGUCACAAUGUAUGAUCCAAUUGGCACUGAGAAGGAGUUAGAACCAGCCGAGAAGAGAAGGGGAAAUCGAGCUCAAUUGGAGGAGGAGAUCAUUGAGCUUGAAACUGAAGAACCCGACGAAGAGAGUGAAGAAGAUGCUCGUAUAUCAAACAUAAGAAAGUGUAAGUUGUAUACUAUUUUACUUCUUUAAAGUUUGGGGAGUUUUGUAUGACCUAUAUAGGUUCUUUUUUAUAUCAUAUCUUUGGAAUUGUAUAGGCAAGUCUGGAAAGAGGAUUGCAACUGAUGGUGGGAAAGAAAAAUCAAAUGCACAUGUUGCGUUCAGAUCGAAGCAUCCAUGCUUCAUUGGAACUAUGACGAAGAACCACUAUCGCCUAGUGAGCACUUUCUUCACCCAAAUUUAUAAUCCAAUUCGGUUAUUGAUUGGAAAAAUAGUAAAAGAAAUAUUCAGAAAACCUUUUCAUGGACUAAAAAAUGUCUAAUUCAAGUAUCUGAGCAUUUUCUUUCUUGUUCAUAUUUGCAGAAUAUCCCAAAGGCGCUGGCUGUAGCUAAAGGUCUCAUUAGAAAGAAGAGUGUAGAGGUUGAAGAUCCAAAUGGGAUAUCAUGGGAUGUUAAAGUAAGGCUCCAUGGAAAGGAACAUCGCGGUGGUCGUUUGUUCAUGACAAAAGGGUUGUCAAAAUGUUUUCAUGCAAACAACAUUUCACUUGGGGACACACUGGUUUUUGAGCUUUUCAACACGAAGAGCGGUGGAAUGAAAAUAUAUAUUUUCAGAGGAAACAGUAAUGUUUUACUGGAUGCCUCCAAUGUCGAAUAUUAAGGCUGUAGUUGGCAUCAGAGCCUAAUUGCAAUGAUCAGUAAAUUUCAGGACUUAUUGUGGGAAGCCACUUAGGAAUUGUUCAGAUUUAUGUAUGGUAGUUGUUGGAGAGAAACAAUAUCUGACUGAUAUGGGUGGUUUUAGAUGUAAGAUUUAGAUGUGUGAAAUGUGAUUGAUUAGCAGAUUUCAAUCGUUGCAUUCCUUCUUUUGGGAAGAUUAAUACUGAUCCAUGUUUUAUUAUAAAAUUACCUGGAUAUAAAUGCAUAAACUAAAUUUUCCCAAAUGGUCUAUGUUGUACAGUUUAAUAAUGACUUUUGCCUAACAUUUAUCUAGACCAAAACUGGGUUUUCCUCCUCCUCUGGAUUUUUAGAUAAAUCUGAUUGAGUCCAUUUCUUGAGCAGUGUAAUCAACAAAAAAGUGCUUGCUUGACAGGAGAGACCACAAAUUAUACCAAUCGACAAGCCCUGGACCAGAACAAAUCAAAUGAAGUUACUAGCUAGCUGCUUUUUAUGUAAAUCAGGAACAAGGAGGUUGCCUUACCUUAGCAUAAAGUUUCAACUUAAAUCCAAGAAGACCAGAAAUUGUCAUACCAAGCAAAUAACAAGUUGCCAAAUUUACAUACGCAGCCAAGUGUUGCCACCCACAUCCUCUAGCCACACCUGAAAAAACCCAUAAUCAAAUAAUUGUGCACCAAGAAAAAACAGAAGAAAAAAAAAGAACGAAGUUGAUGAAACGUGAGUGAUCUCAACCUAAAACGACACCUUGAACAGAAAUCAACAAUUAUAGAAAUUGCAAGCAAUGGUGUCAUUGAAGCAAAGUCCUCUCUCAAUACUGCAUAACUUGCAUCGCUGUCAACGAAGGAGGCAGCCUAAAUAUUGUGACCAAACACAAGAGCCAGAAUAAUCAUGAAAGAAAGAAACACGGAGAGCUUUAAGAGUCACAACCAUUGAAUUCUUAGCUCUAUCUGGAUUGCCUGCUCCCAAUUCAUUUGACACCCUUGUGCUGCCACAAUAAGUAUAAUUGAUUUCAAUGUAUGAAAUUAAUAGAAAACUUGGAGUAGAAGAAACAGCUAGGAGCUUUUAGUCUACUAACCUGGCAGCAGCAAUGAGGCCAUAUCUAAUUUUGUAACCAAUUUCUUGUGUAUUUACACUGCAGAUAUAAUUUAGCAAAAGCUGUUUUUAGUAACCAGAAAAACUAAGGAGAAAUAUAUUACCACAUUGCAAGUAGUGAACUUGUUUUUGCAGAGUUUGGCAUCAAUCCACCUAAGAGCACUAGAAUGUCAAAACCCCAUUCCUCCAAACUAGAAAGCCAAAAUUGCUGGACUUAGACAUUGACAACAAAGAUCUAUAAAAGAUAAAAUGUUCUUGUGUCACAGAGUCUUGGCUGUUAUGCUGUCAGACUAUUCAUCUGAUGUAUGUAUGACGAGAUCAUUAUUCGGGAUAAAAGUAAUAAAAGUUUGAAGGAUGUCCGCUUACCGUUCCAUUGUUCCAGAGGGGAGGGCCAGUUUUAAGCCAGUGAGGAUAUAAUUGAAAGAUUCGAAUGAAAAUCCUUCCCACGUACGCUCAAAACUAUUUGUACAACUGACAUUGCAGGCCAACAUAAGAACAGAUAAACAUGGAGAAAUUGAGGUUGCAAGUGGAGCUCCCAAGAAACCAAGAGCUCUCCAAUGUACCAAACCAUAUGUGAUGCCAAUAUGAAAAACAAUGGCAAUCACUGAGAAGACCAUUGAAGUAUGAAGAAAUCUCAAGAUUUUUUACAUAGAUACUGAGAUUUUAAAUAUAUAUAUAUAUAUAUUUCCCUGAUUUUUGUUUAUCGAUAGUUUAGAGCAUUAUCUAUUACUAUUAGACCAUUACUCGAGUCUCUAUUGUACCCUUCAAAUUUCGCCAGCAUAGACCUGUGCCGAUGAACUUUCGUCGAGAGAGGUUUUUUAGUUUUGUUUUAAUUUUGAAAAUAUAAAAUUUUACUUUGUUUUUUUGUCAACUUCUCUAAUUUAAUUUAUGUAAGGACUUAAAAUGACUUAAUUAAUAGUAAGGACUUAAAAUUCAAUGGAUAUUGAAAAAAUAAAUUACUUAUUUUCGCUUUGUUGUCUUAAUUAAAUAUUUCUAGAGCCCAAGAGGCCCAAGGCCCAAGUCUUUGAUUAAUAUAAUUAUUAUCCAUGAAAGCCAAAUCCAAAGUCGAGCCUAUAGCCAAGCCCAUUAGUCAAACUCUCUACUGUUAACCACACUUGCCAAACCAUCAUAGUGUCUUGUUUAUAAACACCUUUAUAAGAGUGUGGAUUUUCGAUGUGGAGUUUUCUUACCCUAAUUAGUAAAUGAGAGCUUUGAAUUUUUAUGGCUGUUUCAAUUUUUUCCCUUUGAUGAGAGAGCGAGAAAAUAUACCGGAGUUGAAAGUCACCAAUACUUUACAUAUCAGCGAUGAUAAUAUAUAUGUGGUCACUAAUACGUUUAAAUAAUUAUUAGAUAAUUAGGUUUCAAAAUGCUGCACUGCAUAUAAAUUUUUUGCGGUAAUGCUAGAGGCACUAACUGAUGUGGCAUAUGACAUGACAAUCCAUGUCAUUUACCACAUCAUCUAUUUAAUUACCUCAGUAAGGGUUAAGUUCUUAACUUUUAAAAAAUGAGUGUUUCAAAUUUGGGACCAUUGUUGUCCUUGUUGCAGUCGGUACCCACCGCCAGUACCAAGUGGCAUAUAUUGUGGAUUUAGAAACGAGGAAGAUGUGUGUGUUGGGUCCGAAGCCCUCUAUCUUUCUUGUUCGAGUUUUCAUAGUUGAUGAGACUCAGAUUUGCUUUUUUGUACUAGUUUCAUUAUGUCUUUAUUAUGAAGCUUAUUUGGGUCGGUGAAUCUGUAUUAUAUUGCUCUUUCUUCUUUGCACUCCAAAAGAUGCAGAGAAGAUAUGUCAUGGCUCGAGACAUCGUUAAGAAAAAAAUUAAGGAAAAAAACUAAUGUUAUGGAUUACAUAGAUGAGUAUAUAAAUUGCAUCAGAUCUUCCCUUUUUUGUUUUCAUGUGAGGUUAAAUCUAAUGGUGUUAAAAAAAACUGGAGUUUGUUUUUCCUAAAUUUUUCAGCAAAAGUUGUGCCAUGAUGGUGACAGUACUACAAAGGAGGUUAUGGAGGAGCUGUAGAGCGGCACUUGAGGGUGUCCUUAGGUCGUGGCUACGUUCAAUAGAUUAUAUAUAAACAUACAGAAGUUAUAUAAAUUAAUUCAAAUUAACCAAAUAAAAUGAAGGAUGUGGCACAUGACUUGGAUUGCCAUGUCAUAUAUGCCACGUCAAUUGGUAACAAAAAGUUGAUAUAAGAGUUGGUGCCCGUAGAAUUACCGAAACUUUUUUGUUCAAGCAAAACGGGAAAAUUUUCAAACGUUGACCAUACCUUAUUUAGAUGGACGGCGUAGCAUAGAAUUUACUGAAUUUGUGUAAUUUUUUCAAGAAUAUUGGUUAUUCUCUGCUUCUCGAUCAAUAUUAUUGGCUAAUUAGCGAAGAUAUAAAUGGUUGGGCAGUUGUGGAUUUCAUGUUUGGAGCCCAGGGGUUCUUGCAUACUUGUGCACUUCCUAAUUGUGAAGUCAAUUCCAAGAAUUAAGUUUUUGGUAAGAUUCGUUGAACACAUUUGGUAUGUAGGCUCGUGUUUUAGUUGCUUGAACACAUUUAGUAUGUAGGCUCGUGUUUUAGUUGCUAACUGGAGCGAAUGUGUUUGGAAGUACAAUGUAUGAGAGAAGGCCACACACAUCUCCAAAGAGGUUUUUAUCACAAAAACUACCCUAGGUACCUGCCGUUGGGUUCCAUCAAAAAAUCUAUUAGCUUAUCAAAAUUUGUUAUCAAAUUGAUCUCGUCAGUGAGCCCUUUCUGGUUAACGCCGAGCUGAUGGAUACAUAGACAUUUCAACUUAUAUAUCAAAUAGGUUUUGUCCUUCUAGAAAAUUUACACAUACAAUAAAACAUUAUUUGGUUGGAGCAUUGGAGAAUGAAGUCUAGGGUUUAUUAGUGAAAUCCUCUUAAUCUAAUCUUAUAUGAUCUGAGGUGCACCAUAGAGUGAGUGAGAAAGAGUAAGAUAUAGAGAGAGAGUUUUUUAGUCAAGUGUGGAUUAUCUUGGUGAUUUGUAGGUUGUAACGUGUGGCCUCCAUUCUUGUACUUUCUUGUAUAUGUUCAUCAAGUCUUGGUAAGAUAGUCCUUUUGUUGGUUGUCAGUCCCGUUCUCCUUUCUUCUGACCCCUGUGGUCCAAUAAGUUUGUGGUUACCCACCCUUGGAUCUAAUCUAAGGGUGAAGAAAAAACUGAUUUUAAAUCCGUAUAAGGUUAUUUCAUUCAAUUUUUAUGACUUGUUCUUCUUCUUCACCGCCUUGGAUUCAAUUUUUAUGAUUUGAAAUCCUAGAUUUGAAUGAUGGAGGAACCCAGAUUUGAAAUCAAGGUUGGGUGUGGGUGAGCAAACUCCUUGGACCACAGGGGUCCAGGAGAACGAGACUGCUUUUAUUGUACCUGUGGUCCAAGACAACCAUCCUAAUUUUUGAAAAUUUGUCGUAUCCCUGUAUUCGUAUCCGUGUCCGUGCUUCUUAGUUGCUUGAUAUAGUCGAAGAAUUUAAUACUGCUAUCUCAUGAACGUAGACAUAUCGCCAAACCAUGUUACUUCAUGGAUUCUCUUAUUUUGUUUUAUUUCUCGAUGAAUGCAUAAACAAAGUUUUCCCCAAAUGGUAAUUUGUUGUUUAACAAUUACUUUUGCCUAACAUUUAUCUAGACCAAAACUGGGCUUCCUUCCUCUGGAUUUUUAGAUAAAUCUGAUCGAGGCCAUUCCUUGAGCAGUGUAAUCAGCAAGAGUGUGCUCGCUUGAAAGGAGAGACCGCAGGUUAUACCAAUCCACAAGCCCUAUGCCAAAACAAAGCACAACAAAAAUCUGAAUUCAGUGAACUAUUUAACAAAACAAAUCAAAUGAAGUUAUAAGGCUGCCUCACCUUGGCAUAUAGUUUGAACUUAAAUCCAAGAAGACCAGCAAUUGUCAUACCAAUCAAAUAGAAUGUUGCCAAAUUUACAUACACAGCCAAGUGUUGCCACCCACAUCCUCUAGCCACACCUGAAAAUACCCAUAAUCAAAUUAAUUUACACCAAUUUAUUUAUAUAUAAAAAAGAGGGAGAGAGAACAAAGUUGAAAUGUGAGUGAUCUCUACCUGAAAUGACACCUUGAACAGAAUCAACAAUUAUUGAGAUUGCAAGCAAUGGUGUCAUGGAAGCAAAGUCCUGUCUCAAUACUGCAUAACUUGCAUUGCUGUCAAUGAAGAAGGCAACCCAAAUAUUGUGACCAAACACAAGAGCCAGAAUAAUCGCGAAAGAGAGAAGCACGGAGAGCUUAAGAGUCGCAACCAUUGCAUUCUUAGCCCUAUCUGGAUUGCCUGCUCCCAAUUCAUUUGACACCCUUGUGCUGCCACAAUAAUUUAUUUUCAAUGUAUGAAAUUAAUAGAAAACUUGGAGUAGAAGAAACAGCUAGGAGCUUUUAGUCUACUAACCUGGCAGCAGCAAUGAGGCCAUAUGUAAUUUUGUAACCAAUUUCUUGUGUAUUUACACUGCAGAUAUAUAAUUGAGCAAAAGCUGUUUUUAGUAACCAGAAAUAACAUGUUACAGCAGAAAAAUUAAGGGGAAAUAUAUUAAAGCAGUUUACCACAUUGCAAGUAGUGAACUUGUUUUUGCAGAGUUUGGCAUCAAUCCACCUAAGAGCACUAGAAUCUCAAAACCCCAUUCCUCCAAACUAGAAAGCCAAAAAAUAGAGAAAAAAAUUGCUGGACAUCAAUAAAGAUCUAUAAAAGAUAAAGUGUUCUUGUGUCACAGAGUCUGGCUGUUAUGCUGUCAGACUAUUCAUCUCAUGUAUGUAUGACAAGAGAACAUUAUUCGGGAUAAAAGUAAUAAGAGCUUGAAGGAUGUCCACUUACCAUUCCAUUGUUGCAGAGGGGAGGGCCAGUUUUAAGCCAGUGAGGAUAUAAUCGAAACAUUCAAAUGAAAAUCCUUCCCACGUACGCUCAAAACUCUUUGUACAACUGACAUUGAAGGCCAACAUAAGAACAGAUAACCAUAGAGAAAUUGAGGCUGCAAGUGGAGCUCCCAAGAAUCCAAGAGCUGUCCAAUGUACCAAACCAUAUGUAAUGCCAAUAUGAAAAACAAUGGCAAUCACUGAGAAGACCAUUGGCAUGACAUAUACAGAUUGUGUCUGAAGAAAUCUCAAGAUGUUUUGCAGGAAUCCAUAUGCAAAUAAUCCAGGGAUCAGAUGUUUCAAAAAGAGAGCUGCAGUUUUUGAAAUUUGAGGAUCUUGAUGGAGUAAAAUCAGUAAGGGCUCUGUAUAGAACCAGAUUAUGGAUAUGAUGGAACAUAACAGGAAGGAUAUGAUGCAAGAGGCUUGUAGAUAAAUCCCCAACAUUCUGUACGACUUUGCACCAAAGCCUUGUCCACAAAGUGUCUCAAGAGCUCCACUCAAACCAACCUAAUCCAAAAAAUGACAGACAAGAAAACAAUUAAAAGAAAAGGCCAUCAAUGAUCUUAUUAGAUUUUAUUUCACUUCGUUAAAGAUAUCAUGUUACAAACUGUCUGACAACCGAACAUUUUCUUAUGUGACUGGGAAAUUACCACGAGCGCGAAACCAGUAACAUUGGCCCAUGAGUUGGCCAGGGUUGCACCAGCCAACUGAAGCUCACCAAGGUGGCCAGCAAACAUGACUGAGACCAAUGGGAUCAAGGAAAAGAACACAUUGGUGGGAAUUGUUGGCAAUGAAAAUAAGACCUGUUUUUUGGCCUCCUCAAUGUCUAACAGGUUGUUCCACCACCUUCUUUCGGAUCCUUCUUCUCCAUGCCCACCUGCCUAGCUAAUGACUUAAAAUUGGAAUAUUCGUGCAAGUUUUGGAUAUCAAAUUUCCAGAAUUAAAAAGAAGGAAAAAUAAAAUAGUACAUCUGAUCAGAAAACUUAUGUUACUAAAUGGAGAAGAUCAAUAGGUAAUCUGGUUAUAGGGAAAUGCAUGCAUCCAAGAAAUUGAUCUCACCACACCCUGCACUCAAACCAUUUUCCAAAAAAAUUCAGUUUUGCCCCUCUGUGUGUAUUCAUGAAAAUAAAAACAAAAACAGCUGAUGACCAGUUUUUUACAGUAUCUAUACCAGAAAGAGUUAUAACUGGAAUUUUCGGAACUUAAUUUUGAGCUAGAUGUACUUCACUAGUGCCAAGUAGAAUUGAUUUUUGAGUAAAUGCUAGCUAGAAAAGCAGAAUUCACCAUAAACAAAGUAAUACAAAAGAAAGGUUGAAUUUCCCACCUUCAGAAAUCAUCUUCUCCGCAACCUAGAAUAGAUUAUAUAAAUUGAACUUGUAAAUUAAGCAGCUGAGUUGUGAGAAAAAAAAAUCAACAAUAAAGAAGGUAAAAACUAAAAUAGCCACAAGCUGGGAAGGAGGGAUCAAUGGUGGUCAAUGACUCAAAGACAAAGAUUUCGGAGAAAUUAUUGUGUGACAUAUAUAGUCAUGAACUACUGUAUAAGUAGAGUACAACAAUAAGACUUUUGUUUUCUGAUCUUCAAGACUCCAAUCAUAGACAUUUUUAUGGUAUAUUUGUUCUUUUCUUGGUCAAAUUGUUUGGUACAUACUUCAAUCAUACGUUAUAUAUUUUUGUAAUUUUAUGCACUGCCUUAUUCCAUCCAUGUGACUGUGUGUGCACCAAUAUUCUGCUAAAUUAGAAUCUGGACUUUCCAGUUUCAUCAACCAAAGAAAAAAUAAAUUGAUAACUAUAACAUGACCAGAAAAGUGAUCGAAUGUGUUAGGAACCAGAACAUUUAUGUAAACGAAAACAGUACCUGUUUUUCGGCCUCCACCAGGUCCAAGUACACUUUCUUCCGUGACCACCUCUUUCUUUUUGCUCCUUCUCCAUGACUACCUGCCUCCAAUAAGGGUGUGGUAAUAUUUCUAUCUGAGUGACCUGUGUUUGCUAACAUCUCCAUCUCCCUUUUUUUUUUUUUUGGGUGGAAUGCGAUCCCUCACCUUCUUUUUCUAUGGGAUGCGAUGUUUUUGAGCUUUGUUUUUCCUCCUCCUAUACCUUCUGCUUCUGCUUCACACACUGUGCAUAUAUAUACAUACAAGUACUUCAUAUCAUCUCCUGAUUUCUUUUUGGUGUUGAUAGUUUGUUUAUGUAAAAAACUACGUGGUUUUAGACUUUUCUAAGACCGAAACAAAGUCCUUUUCAGGGCUGCUAAAGUACAAAAUCCCAAACCUAAAGAGCAACUCUAGUCGAUAAUUAUUUAUUUAUGUGGGAACAUUUGUUAGCUGUUGUCUUAAAUGAGACCCAUCGUGAGACUCAUAUCAAUCACCGAUUGUCUAUUGCCUUAAAUGAAACUGAUCGUGAGACUCAUAUCAAUCACCGAUUAAGAACUAUCCACAUGUACAAUGAUCAUCAUGUGACUCACAAUUAUCUAUCAUGGUUCUGGCAUUUUCGUGUUUUAGAUGACUACCACAACAAUGAUAGAUGUACUUUUGGUGCAUAGGCGUAUGCUUUUUCUCUCUCAUACAAAAUCAUAUGAGGCUCAGUACAACUAUGGGGGGACCUCGCAUAAUUGCAUGAGCCAACAAAUGCAUACCUCAUAUAACCUAUCUCCAAACUCUAAUAAGUUAAAGUACCAAUUAGAAAAUGAUAAGUGACUAGUUUUGAGUUUUUCUCUUUAAAUAGGCUCUAUAUGGGUUUUUAUAUAAUAUGUCAUGCUAAAAUGGACUUAUUUGUAAAAACCUAUAACUUUUUUUUAAUACAAGCGAUUGGGGGAGGGGGGUUUACACACAAAUAUUCAUUAGGUGUCUGGAAAUUUUAAACCUCUGCCCACAUAGAUAGAGGUGGCUUACUAGUAAUGCAGUGACGAUAAUAUAUGUUUGAUAAUACGUUUCAAGAUGAUUUCAUAAUUAGGUUUCAAAGCUCCAUUAACUUUUUGUUUUAAGAAAAAUUGGGGUACAUUUGAAACCUUGACCAUACCUUAUUCAGAUAUGGAUGGUCUAGCAUUUAUUGAAUUUUUGUAAUUUGUUCAGGAAUUUGGUUAUUCUCUGCUUCGAUCCAUAUUAUUGGCUUGGCAAAAAAAAAAAAAUGUGGAGACACGUGAGAUUUUUGACUUGCAAUAGCAUUUGUGAGUAUGGUCGGGCUGAGGUUAAGGGCUGUCAUGGCCGAUUCGUACUUAUGUUUGGAUCCCAGCGGUUCUUUGCAUACUUCUCGGCUGCCUACCAAUUGUGAAGUCAAUUCCAACAAUUAAGCCGCCUUUGGUAUUCUAUUCAAAUAGAAAUUUCAAAAAUUUUGAAUUUUUUUUAAAUAAGGAGUUCUUAAAUCUAUUUUUAAGAUUCAAAAACUUGUUUGGUAUGCAAUUUGAAAACUUUUUUCAAAUCUUAAAAAUUUGAGAACUUGUGGGUUGUUAGAAAAGAAAAAACUGAAAAAACAGAUAUUUUUUGUUUUUAAUAAUUGGGGUGUUUUUUAAUUGUUCUUGAGUUUGAGUUUUUAAAAAAUAGGGUUACCAAACACAUUUUCUUUAUUUUAGACUCAAAUUUUUUUUUUUUUUUUUGAGUUUAAAAGAUUGGAUUCAAGUUGAAUACCAAACAUGCCCUAAGUUUUUGGUAAGAUUUGAUGAACACAUUUAAUAUGUAGGCCCGUGUUUUAGCUGCUAACUGGAAUGAAUGUGUUUGGAGGUAUGUAUGAGAAUGAAUCAAAUGAUACAUGUAUAGGAGCUCUGCGUAACCCCACAGAUCCCUGAAGUUACUUUAUUUUUUAGAGGUUUUUAUCACAAAACGUCCUAAGGUUCAAGAACUAUUAAUAAUAAUUCCUUAUCUUAUUUUCUUUUUUCUUAUCGUCUGAAAUCAUCCUUCACGCUAAACCCCACACAUUAUUUGUGUACCUACUAUUGGAUUAUGUCAAAAAAAUAUGUUAGUUGCUUACGUCAGGUGACCGGAUUGACCCAAAAAAAAAAGACACACACACACAACACAACCAUGCUGAAAUUUAUUCACAAGGUCAUCUACUCUUUCAGGGGUGCACUAGAUUGGUAAAGCGGGCCACAGCCCAAAGAAAAGAUUGUAAAAAAAGCACACUAAAACUUGGAGGCAGGUUCAGGCGGUAUCGGAUCGAGGAGCCCAAUUCUUGAGCAGUACAGUGCCCAAAAUUAUGCUCGUUUGACAAGAAAUGCCAAACAUUAGUCCAAUCCACACAGCGGUGGACCUAGAAAUUUUUCAAAGAAUGAGUAAUAUUUCAAAGUCUAAAACGAUAUUUAAAAAGACUAAAAACACUAUAUUAAUCACAUUAACUAAUUCACCAUGUUAAUUAUAUACAAAUAAACACAACAUUGAAAUAUUAAUCAUUUAAUCAAACCACAACAAUCUUUAUUAAUUAAUUACAAACUAAAAAUAUAUACAAAUAAAUAAAUUCAAAAAAAUCAAUACAAAAUAUCCAAAACAAAAACUCAAUCAAUUAACCAAAACCCAAUAAUCCAUCCUAAUUAAUUAAAGCAUAAAGAGAAAUAACUUUGAAAUUUGAGAGAGAAAUUAAUAUUCCAAACAAAUUGUGGAGGGUUGGUCCAUUGGUGGAUGGCUUAUCUCUUCUGAUUUUAGAGCUGCCAUGGCUUAUGCCCACUUCACAACCCUUCUUUUGCCUCUAAAACAAAUGGGUUUCCACCAAAUAAAUAAAAGAAUACAGAGAGGGAGAGAGAUCCUUUCAGGGUGUCGUUGCUGAAUGAAUGUAAUGGAAUUUACUUAUACCAAUUUGAGAGAGGGAGAGAUAGUCAAUGAUAAUGAAAAAAGCACAAAGAGAAAAGCUAAUGGAUGAUGAAGGCAAAAGAGGAUUGAGAAAAAAGGGAUGUGGUUGGGGAGUUGGCCGGUGUGGGUAGUGGUGGCCCUUUCUUUUUAUUUCUUUUUUUUUUUUUUUUUUUUGGUUUCACUUGGACCAAAACUAUGCGUUUUGGACAUAUCACUUUCAAAAAAAAAAGAACCCAAACAGCCUUGCGCGCUGCAGCCUGCGCAAAGAGCUGCUGCCUGGAGCUUCUUUGGAGCAAAUAAUCGAACAGCUGGUGGGCAAUAGAAGAAGGGCAUUUCUAGCUUCUCAAAGUGAUUUUCCGGCGAGGGGAGGUGCAAGUGCACCUCCUUGCGCCUCUGUAGAUCCGCCAGUGAAUCUACAUGCCCUGAAAAAUCAUAAGAGAUUGAAUUAAGCACAAACUUCAAUAUUGAAAAAUACCAAUAAACAAAAAUUAGGUUUGUUCUAUUCAUUAUGUAUAUCAUGAGUGCAACAUGAUAGCGGAUAAACUAGCUGAAUUGGGUUCAUGUCUUGAGUUAGGUCUGUCAACUUUCCAGGACCCUCCUGACAGUAUUAGAUCCUUUCUUAGUAAAGAUUUACUUGGAGUCUGUAGGCCUCGAGCCAUUAUUUAAUUUCUUUGCUGGACAUUAGCCCCGUUUCUUCAAAAAAAUACCAAUCAACUAGCUUAGCAUACAAACAACACAAAUGUCUCUCUCUCACCUUGACAUGUAACUCGGUCGUGAGCCCAAGAAGGCCCGAAAUAGCCAUGCCAACCAAAUAUGUGGCCAGAUUAACAUAGCAGACCAACUUUUGCCACCCGCAUCCUGCGGCCAAACCUGAAAGAAAAAACCCCAACCCCAAAUCAUUUCCCAUGCAACUUGCAAGCACCCCAUGAAAAACAAAACAGGAAAAAUGGAACCAAAGUUUUUUUAUACCUAAAACAACACCUUGUAGAGGUUCAACGAUCACAGAGACUGCAACCAAGGGUGUCAUGGAUGCAAAGGCUUUUACUAUUUCUGGUGUGCUGCCGAAUAAGCCAGCCCAGAAGUUGUGGCCAAUUGUCAGUGCUAGACCAAGAAGGAAAGCAAGAAAGCCAGAGAACUUCAGAGCCACAGUCAUGGCACUCUUAGCUUUCUUUGGAUUGCCUGCUCCCAGUUCGUUUGAAACUCUCGUGCUGCCACAAUAUUAUUAUUUUAUGUAAACAAUUAAUCAAAAUUAUAUAAAAGCACUUGAUCAAUUGACAAAAUUACUUGAAAAAUAAAUAGAGUGUUACUAUUAUUUCACCAACCUGACAGCAGCACUGAGGCCGUAUGACACCAUAUAACCAAUUAACUCCACAUUGACACUAUGAUUAAUAUACAUCAAAAUAAAUAAAUAAAUAAAACAAAAGAGUGUCCAAACGGGAAAUAACAAUUUAAUUAUUUGUAUAUAUAAAUAAAUAAAACUUACCAUAUCCCAAGUAGGGACGUGCUCUGUGUUGGAUGUGGAAAUGCUCCUGCCAUGAAGACUAAAAACUCGAAGGUCCAGUCUUCCAAGCUGGAUUGAUUUAUAUAAAUAAAAAAAGACAUACCAAAAGCAACCUACUUUAAAUAAUGAACAUUUUGGAGGACACUUACCAUUCCACUGCGGCACCAGGGAGGCCAAGCCUCAAAACCGUAGGGACGUGACUGAAUGAUGCCAGGGAGAAACCUUCCCAUGUAGACUCGAAUUUCUUCGAAGAAGAAUGUAGACGGCGAACAUAAGAAGAGAGAAGCAGAGGGAAAUGGAUGCUGCAAGUGGAACACCUCUGAAGCCCAGAGGAGUGAAGUGGACAAGAUAAUAGGUGAGGCCUAUGUGGAGGCCGCGGCUGAUGAAGGAGAAUAUAAAGGGGACGACAACAGCAGACUGGGUUUGAAGAAAUCUCAAAACGUUCUGGAGGAUGCCAAAUGCAAACAAUCCAGGAAUGAACAGCUUCAUAAAGACCGCAGAGAGUUUUGAGGCCUCUGCGUCUUGGUGUAACAACGAAAUCAAAACUGGCUCCGAAAAGAACCAAAGUGGGGAAAUAAGCAAGGAAGCUAGCAAGGAUAUCAAGCAUGAGGCUUGCAGGUACUUCCCUAACAUGCCAUACUCCCUGGCACCAAAGGCUUGCCCACAAAGGGUCUCAAGCGCUCCACUUAAGCCAAUCUAAACCGCGAGAGAGAGAGAGAGAGAGAGAGAGAGUCAAUUCUUCAAUACAUAAUCCAAGAAAUUAAAUUAUGGUCAAAUGUAAAAUUACCCUUAACUAAUUGGCAAUGGAAAAUUGCUAAUAUAUUUAUCUGGAGAAAUUAAUGAGUAAUACUAUUACCACAACAGCAAGGCCGGUGGCACUAGCCCAUGACAUGGCUAGGUUUGCAGCAGCUAGUUGAAGCUGACCAAGGUGGCCAGCAAACAUCACAGACACCAAAGUGAUGAAGUAAAACAUCACAUUAGUGAGAGUUGUUGGCAGUGAAAACAAGACCUGCUUCUUGGCCUCCUCCACAUCCAACAACUUCAUUUUCACCAGAGGAAAAUAAGGUCUUUAGGAGAGAAGAAAUUUUGUAAAGAAGAUUAAAGGGAAGAAGAAGAAGAAGUCUUACCCUCCAGUUGUGGCAUGCAUAGGAAACUUAAUUACCUUAAACAUAUAUGGGAAGUUGGGACCAUUUUUUUCCCAAUUUGAUUUGGUAACCUGAAUUUUGAAGUGCACCUUAACCAAACCUUCUAUCUCCAAAUACAUAUAAGUCUUUACCUCACUGGUGUGGUAUUUGGAUUCUUAGAAAAAGACAAAUAUAGAGACUAAUAUAUCAUGUGUUAAUUUAGUAGCCAUUACAUUAGAACGGAAGUGGCAUCAAUACAUAAUGUUCAAUUCAAUCCAAAGAACUCUCUCAAACACAUGGAGAAAUAAAUUCUGAAACCCCUACAUUUUAAUUCAUAGAGGGACGAAUGAAAUGUUAGAACAUAAGAGGAAAAUCAUUUUCUGAUAUGUUAUUCUUCUCCUUCUUGGAGGAAUUUAAGCAAGACUGAAUGUGUAAAACUUGGAAAUAAACUCAAAUGAUAGCCUAGUUAUUACGAGCGAUUAGCCUAAUCAACCGAUCAGCUAAAUUGCAGGUGAGUAGAAUCGAUAUUGAUCACUUUGAGGAGUUAGCCCACAGUGACUUGGAUUGCUAUAUGGAAGUAGUCUUUUCGCAAAUGUCUGUCUCUGUUGCAAGCAGAGCAGUCCUAGAUUUGGCUUACUUUUUUGAGGACACUUCCAUUUUCCAGUGAUCUCCAUCACAGGAGAAUGAUGGAAGUUUGUUGCAUCUGGGCUUUCUUUUCACCACUGCAUCCCUUCCACCUGCUAAUGUGGCUGUUGCUUUUCUAAUCUCUUGUGGUCCUUCCACAAAAUUUUCAUAACUUUUUCUUGGAAGUUUGUGUUUCCUUGUUCUAAUAAAACCAUCUUCUGAUAUUUCUUUUCCGUCAUCUUUUCUGUCUUUGCUUCCAUGAGUUGGUUUUCUUUCUGACGCUCCUUUAACUGGAAUCAACUCUGCAUCACCUUGAAUUAAUAAACAAUCAACUUCUGCAUGGAAUUUUGCUUCUGAAUUCUCCUGUAAAGUGAAAUCCUUGCUAUGAGUCAUGUAUUUUGGAGACUUUCAUCAUUCAAACAUGAACUUCUUUCGAUGUUAGACAUCUUGUGCUGUAGCCAUAACAUGGUUUUGCAAUGGUUUAGGCAUAUGCUUGCGAUACAAAUUAUUCUGACUAGGUAGGUUUUCAUUUACUCCACCGCGGUGACCCUGUAAUUUACAGACAUUAUUAGGGCAAUGAUGACUUGAGCAAGAAUGAUUAUGUCAGUUCAUCGAUUCAUAAAUAUAAAAAAUGUGGAAAUACACAACUCCAUAACCAAAGAAAAUAAAACAGAAGAAAGAAAGGUUUUAAAAAGAAAAGUAGGGAUAGGAAAGGGAGACAUAUAGAAAGAGUACCUCACUUACAGGCUUCCUUUCCUGCUUAUCAUCUCUUCUCCCAGAGCUGACACAUUUUGCAAGCCCUUCAGACUCUAAAUCAACAACCUCUUCACCAUCAGUUCUCUUUUGACUGAAAUCCUCCAAAUCCUCUUCUUUUCCUCCGUUGCUGUUUUCAACCAGAAACCGAUCCUUCCCACUUCUAUUUUCUUUGCAAACAAAUCUCCAAAACCAUCAUUUGUAUCGAACACAGGAGAUUCAUACACAUAGCUUGAGAACCAGUUUCUGAUGUCAAUAGGCUCUAACAGAUCAGGAAGCAAGCACAAACAGAUCAAUAACUUCAUUUCUUAUUUUUUUAACAUAAAAUACCAAGAAAAUAAAUGGAAGCAGAGAAUACGAUUCAAUGAUUCACUGCUUGCAUACAUUUUCUUAGUAGCCACACAAUUCAACGAGGGGGAAAAUAAUAACUUCAGAAAUAAGUGAGAAAGCCUGAAAGGAGGGAAGGUGACUCCGAAGGAUCUUGAGUCUACAAGAAUAAAAAUUGUGUUAGAUUAUUGUAUAUUUGGAUUCUCAAUAAAGAACGAGGGGAGAAAGAGACAGAUUAUUUGUGAGUGUGAGGAAAAACAAUUUGCUUUUCGAUUUAAUGAACAAAAGCUUCAUCUUUAUUUCCAUUUCCCCUGAACCCACCUGAGUUUUCUUCUUUUUCUUCUCUUACGAUUUCAUCGAUACCCAAAUCAUCGAACAACGAUUUGGAAUUCAGUACAGGCCAGUACCUUUCGAAACAGUUUCUCAGAUCUGGAGGCCAUGUCAUGACUAAAAUAAAAAAAUUAAUAUCUUUCACGGACUUGGGAAAUUGAAGAAUCAGUAACUGAGAAGUCGUGGCUUUGAACGUUCUGCUUCGAAUACUUCUCCAUCAGCUUUUGCAGUUUGUUGAGUUUGUGUUGGUAGUUGGUUUUAGACGAUGGCGCACAAGUUUGUCCCGCGUUUUAUUUUCAUUUGAAUCUCCAGCGUUCCAUUCAAAGCAAAGUGAGAGUGAGAGACAGAUACACACAGGAGUGAGAUCAAGAGAGUUACGUGUGGAGAAGAUUAUCUUGAUGAUUUGUAGCUUGUAGAGGUGUCUAAGGGGCUGGACCAAGCUCGUGCCAUGCACGGGCUGAUCCAGUCUGUUUGACACCUCUAGACUCUAAUAGCUUGUAACGUGUGUCUACGUUCUUGUUAUAUUUUGUAUACAUCAAGUUUUGGGAAUUGGUUUGGUAACGUUGUUCUCUUCUUGUAAGCCUUGCACACGAUUUGGUGUAUUUGAUGUUGGAUUCUGUCAAAAAUCUAUUAGUUUGUUGACAUAGUAUGAGUGUGAGGCCCACAAGAACAAUGAUAUAGUACCACAUAGAUUAAAUCAAAUGUACUUUUUUUUGAAAUGACGUUACUGAACUAAUAGAGUCGGAGUCCACCAAUACAAUGAGAUCCACUUCUAUUAGAGAAGUGGUACACAAUGUGUUAUAUAAAUGUGGUAAACUUAACAUUUUUCUUUCUUUUAUUUCUUGCUUAUAUUGGUUGAGUUCGUAAUGAUAUAUUCUAUUAUUAAUCUAUAUCUUAACAAUUUCAUCCACUGCAACCCCCCACCCCCUCACACCAUCCCAUUUCAGGUUUGACAUGGGAUGAGAGAAGUUCCAGAACUGCAACUCAACAUGGGUAAUCAACUAUGUCAACUGUACUAAUCCGUAUUUUAUUAUGAAAUUAACUGAAUAAAUGCAUAAACUAAGUUUUCCCAAAUGGUCUAUGUUGCUACAGUUUAACAAUUACAUUUAUCUAGACCAAAACUGGGCUUCCUUCCUCUGGAUGUUUAGAUGAAUCUGAUUGAGUCCAUUUCUUGAGCAGUGUAAUCAGCAUGAGUGUGCUUGCUUGAAAGGAGAGACCGCAGAUUAUACCAAUCCACAAGCCCUGUACCAAAAUGAAGCACAACAAAAAUCUGAAUUCAUUGAACUAUUUAACAAAACAAAUCAAAUGAAGUUAUAAGGCUGCCUCACCUUGGCAUAUAGUUUGAACUUAAAUCCAAGAAGACCAGCAAUUGUCAUACCAAUCAAAUAAAAAGUUGCCAAAUUUACAUACACAGCCAAGUGUUGCCACCCACAUCCUCUAGCCACACCUGAAAAAAACCAUAAUCAAAUUAUUCUGCACCAAGAAAAAAAAAAGAACAGAGUUGAUGAAAUGUGAGUGAUCUCAACCUGAAAAGACUCCUUGAACAGAAUCAACAAUUAUAGAAAUUGCAAGCAAUGGUGUCAUUGAAGCAAAGUCCUCUCUCAAUACUGCAUAACUUGCAUUGCUGUCAAUGAAGAAGCCAGCCCAAACAUUGUGACCAAAUGCAAGGGCCAGAAUAAUCGCGAAAGAAAGAAGCACAGAGAGCUUAAGAGUCACAACCAUUGCAUUCUUAGCUCUGCCUGGAUUGCCUGAUCCUAAUUCAUUUGACACUCUUGUGCUGCCACAAUAUGCAUGUUUUGUUUCAAUGUAUGAAACUAAUAUAGAAAGCAUUUAAUGAAGAACUUGAAGGAAUUCGAACUUGCUGGGAGUUUUCGAUCUACUAACCUGGCUGCAGCACUGAGGCCAGAUGUAACCAUGUAACCAAUUUCUUGUGUAUUCACACUGCAGAUAUAGUUGAACAAAUGUUGCUUGAGUAAGGCAGAAUGAACAUGUUUUAGAAGAUGACUAACUCUAAGGAGAAAUAUAUCGAAGCUUACCAGAUUGCAAGUAGUGAAGUGGUUUUUGCUGAGUUUGGCAUCAGUCCUCCCAUGAACACAAGAAUCUCAAAAGCCCAUUCCUCCAAACUAGAAACACAAAUAAAUAACUAAAAUGAUGGCUUCAUGAACAUUAAAUAUAAAGAUAGAGGAUAAAUGUUCAGAUGUCACAAAGUGUGCUUUAUGUUGUCAUACUAUUAAUCCGAUAUAUAUCGAUCAUGUAGAAGUUUGUCUCAAUGUACAUGUGUAUUUAGCUACAUAUAGAUGACAUGUUAGAUAUUUGGCAAGAGAACGUUACUUGAGAUGAAAAUAAAUUUAUUUUAAGGAUUGUACGCUUACCAUUCCAUUGUUGCAGAGGGGAGGGCAAAUUUUAAGCCGGUGAGGAUAUGAUUGAACGAUUCUAUCGAAAAUCCUUCCCAUGUACGCUCAAAACUCUUUGUAUAAUUAACAUUGAAGGCCAUCAUAAGAACAGAUAUCCAGAGAGAAAUUGAGGCUGCAAGUGGAGCUCCCUUGAAACCAAGAGCCGUCCAAUGCACCAAAACAUAAGUAAUGCCAAUAUGAAUAACAAAGGCAAUCCCUGAGAAGACCAUUGGCAUGACAUAUACAGAUUGUGUCUGAUGAAAUCUCAAGAUGUUUUGGAGGAAUCCAUAUGCAAAUAGUCCGGGGAACAGAAAUUUCAAAAAAAGAGCAGCACAUUUUGAAAUUUGAGGAUCUUGAUGGAGUAAAAUUAGUAUGGGCUCUGUAUAGAACCAGAUUAUAGAUAUCAUGAAACAGAAGAGGAAAGAUACGAUGCAAGAAGCUUGUAGAUAAAUCCCCAACAUUCUGUACGACUUUGCACCAAAGCCUUGCCCGCAAAGUGUCUCAAGAGCUCCACUUAACCCAACCUAAACAGAUAAAAGAUAGACAAGAGAUACACUAGUGUUAUUUGAUUUUAUGUCACGUCAUCAAAAGAUAAAAUAUUACAAACUGUCUGACAAGAGAACAUUUUCCAAUGUGACUGAGAAAUUACCACGAACGCAAAACCGGUAACGUUGGCCCAUGAAUUGGCCAGAGUUGCACCAGCCAACUGAAGCUCACCAAAGUGGCCAGCAAACAUGACUGAGACCAAUGGGAUCAAGGAGAAGAACACAUUGGUGAGAAUUGUUGGCAGUGAAAAGUAGACCUGUACUUUGGCCUCCUCAACGUCUAACAGUUUGUUCCACCACCUUCUUUUUGAUCCUUCUUCUCCAAGCCCAUCUGCCUAGCUACAAUCUGGGUGCAUUAGUAAUGUCUUAAAAAUUCGUUUUUUGUGCAAGUUUUGUUCUUAAUAUCCAAUAAAAAAGAUAGGCCUAAUAGAAUUGAUUUGCGAGAAAAUGAAAAGAAAAAUUAACAAUAAAAACAAAGUAACACCAAAAAAAGGUCGAAUCUCUCACCUUCAGCGAUCAUUUUCUCCGGAACCUAGAAGACGAAUAAUAGAGAUUGUAAGAAAUGAACUUAUAAAUAAAGACAAAUCAACAAUAAACUAAGAAGAUAAAAAUAGUACCAAUUUGUUUUUCAAUAAAAACUCAAUGACAAAGAGGUCCGAGGAAUUCAUAUGGCGGAUGAUAAACAUAUAUAGUGUGAGCCAUUGCACUAUCAUAAUUAAAUUAAGUAGAGUACAACCAACAAGAGAAGAGACUUUUGUUUUCUGAUCAAGAACUCAAUCAUGGACACUUUUUGGGUAUGUAUUUCUUCUAUUGGUCAAAUAUUUAGGUAUGUACUUCAAUCAUAAACUUUCAAGUUUGAAUCCCCUCUCUGCAUAUGAAUUUAGUCCACUACUUUAUCCAUACUGUUUGGUAAAGUUCCUAACUCAAAAUUAAAAUUAAAAUACAUGAUAUGUUUUUAGGUUUAUGAAUAGAUUAGAUCCUACCCUAAUUUACCCAAAAGAAAUAAAAAACAACUCAAAACCAUUCAUGACAUGUUUGUGCAAUUAUGCACUGCAUUAUUCCAUGCAUGUGAUUGUGUGCACACUAAUAUGCUGAAACAAAUAAUUUUGGAUUUUCCAGUUUCAUCAACCAGAAAAAGAAAAAAAAAAUUACUGGGAAACGAUCGAAAAUAUACAAUACCUGUUUUUUUGCCUCGAACACGUCCAAGUACACUUUCUUCCAUGACCGCCUGUUUCUUUGUGUUCCUUCUUCUUCUCCAUGACUAUCUGCCUCUAAUAAGGCUGUAGUAAUGUAUCUAUCUGAACUUUCGGAAUCUGCUAACAUCUCCAUCUGCCUUCUCUUCUUUCUUUUCGGGUUUUUAGAGCGGAAUCUUGAAUAAUACUAAUGAAAAGUUAAAACAAUGUCGUGUACAUAGACACAAUAUCAACACUAAGAUCAGCAAGAUCCUUGUUGGAAAUAGAAGAUCAGCAAGAUCCUGUUUCUAAGUAAAAACACGAAUGUUUUCUAUACAUUUUAUUUUAGUAUUAGACAUAAUUAUCCUUACUAAUUAGUAUUUGUGACAAACAGUAUUUCUGUUUUGGUUUUAAUACCUAGGAAUUGAAUUUUGUUUUGAAUUUGGCCAAAGAGGAGGCCCAGAUUCGUUAGCCCACCUUACAUUAAUCACUAAAAAGACAAUUAUACCCUUUAGUCUUGAUAAUUUUCUUGGCGGUCUAACUAUGAAGUGGUGAUACGAGUAAGUUUGUCUGUAGAUUUGCUUGUUUUAUCUUCUUCUGGAAACAGGUUAUGUUCUAGUCAGAUUGCUGCAUCAUGUCUCAUUUUGUUGUUUUGACGCUUUAUUCUAGUACCUUUCUAUGCUUUGUUUUCUGCUAUUUGUCUGUGUUUUUUAAAUUCGUAUUGUAUUGGUGUUGUCUUAUUUGGUGAUUUUGUUUUAUAUUUUUGACGUUAGAUGAGUACUGCUAUUGCCAUUGAGGAUGUGAGAAGGGAGGUGAAGAUAUUGAAAGCUUUGACCCGACAUAACAAUCUAAUAAAAUUCCAUGAAGCUUUUGAAGACCAUGAUAAUGUAGUAAGUCCUGAUCACUGAAUUUUUUUUUUUUGGACUCAUGUGAUUCUGUAAACUUGUCUUCUUGACCUUCUUUGUUAUGGAUUUCUUAACUUCAAUUGUUGUACUUUUCAGAUUAUGUGAAGGAGGGGAGCUCUUAGAUAGGAUACUUGCAAUGUAUUUCUUCUGGUGCCUAUUUGAUUUGAAUGCACGUGUCUUGAACUUGUUAUGUUUUGGUUGUUCUUGAUGAACUGGGAAAUAGGAAAGUCAUGGGAAAAAUUGUUGGUAAUUCAACAGCAACUGGUGCCCUAUCAUAUUACGGAUAUUCUAAUUCCUUUCUUCAGGGGUGGGAAAUACACGGAAGAUGAUGCAAGGACCAUCAUGAUACAAAUUUUUGUUUUUGUAGCUAUUUUUUUUAACAUAAUUGAUAUCUACAUUGUAUUUUUGUUGCAGUUUCUGUUUUUAUUUGCAGUUUUUGUGUGAAUAAGUGUUGAAAUGAUUUUUUUUUUCUUUAAACCAUUGAUUGUUUACAUAAAUAUUGUAUAACUAAAUAAAUAUAUUACAAAAUCAAGUUUGGUGUAGUGGUUUGUGAGUGAGCCUUCCUCUUUUGAGGGUCAAGGUUCAAGUCCCUUCAAUGACACAAAGUCUUUUUUCUUUAAAGGUUCGAGUCCCUAUGCUAAUUAGAUGAAAUUGUAUUCCUAUCUUCCAAAUUAAUAAACUAUAUUAUGUUUUAAAACUAAAACUCCCCAAUCAAGGAUAAUUUGCCACACGUAUACACUGUCAUCAUAAAUUAACAAAUUAUAUCUUUAUAUGGGACUCGUUUCGAAGGGCUGGUUGCUGAAACUCCAAUAGUGCAACCAGAAGCUGCGCCUUCUGCACCCCAUCACCAACUGCCAAUUGAGUAAGAGAGAGAGAGAGAGAGAGAGAGAGAGAGAGAGAGAGAGAGAGAGAAAUUCUUACUAUCUUGAAAUUUGAGAGAAAUUCUUGUUUGAUAGUAUCUUGGAUUGAGAAAUAAAUGGAGAAAUUGGAGGAAUCUUUUCCAUUGACAAGGAGGGUCUCAUUAAAGCAAGAAUAUAUAUUUUCCAAUUUUCAGUAUUAGUAAAGUUUGCAUUAUGCUUGUAGUAAAAGUUAUUCUGCUUAUGGUCGAGGUCGUUAUUGUUUGACUGGAAAGUCAAUAGGCAAGCAAGUCAGAUAAUAAAUAAGGUAAUGAGUUGCAAGGAGUAUUAGGACCGUAUCAAUAUCUCAAACUCCAUAUCUACACCAAUAUAUUCCAAAGUAUCUGUGUACCUUUUUUUUUUCCUUUUUUUUUUUUGGUCUGACAAGGUUCAAACAUACGCCUUGGUAAUCGACUACCUUUGGUUUAACGAUAGUAGUCUCUCUCUCUCUCAAAAAAAAAAUUGUACGUAGUAGUGUCAUUCACAUGGUUUGAGGAGAUGAGUUCUAUUCACGUGGAUACAGUAACAAUGUAUUUGUGAUUAGUUUGAUACCUAAUUUAGUUCACCUCGUUUUGUACACCAUUAUAACAAACUGGCUCAGCUCCGUUAAUGACCAUGCUAAUUUUCCUGAGAUCCCACCUUGAAGGCUAGUAUAAGCAAGAUCUUAUUGCAAUUGGCAGUUUUUCCUUUGCGAUUUCAUCUUUAUUGCCAAUUAACAUAUAUAGAUCUGCCCUUGAGAAAUUACUAAUUUUGAUAUUUGAUGAAUGAUGACUAAAAAGUGGAGUGUAUAUACUAUGUAUUAUUCAUGGCACUUUUUAGCCAUCAUUUAUUUAUCAAAUAUUCACUCCAACCAAUAAGGGGAAAAGUUCUUCCUCGGCUUCAUACUUCCAUAGCUUUCAGAAAAGCUUUCACAACCUGCGCAUCAUGGUGUGAUGAUACAGUUGCUUUCUUCUUAAAGCUUCCAUAGCUUUAAGUUCGGCAACAUCCCACUUCAGGUUUGCAUCUUCCUACAAAAUAAAGUUGCUUUCUUCUUUCUUUUGCUUAUCUUCUGCAUCCCGCUGGUGGCUUGGGGGUGUUUGUUUGUUUUCUUUUUUCACAAUUUUGAAAUGUUUUCUUCAUGGAGAUGAAAACAUAAGUUGUCUCCUCAUUCUGUGCUAGCUAGAAGACACCAUAGUGCAUAUGUAGAUGCCAAGAUUUCAUGUGAAUUGAAAAAAGCCUCUCUCUCUCUCUGGUUUCUCUCUCCCCCUACAUCAUUUGAGAGACGUUCUUUACCUUUCACAAUAUGGGAGAAGCUCACCAGCUGCAACUCAGCAUCAUGGGUACGUAUGCCACUUAUUCAUUUACUUACUGGCUUUUAUUUUACUUUCUUAUUUAGAUAACUGAACUAGAGGUCUAUUCUGUGCAUGCUUGGCUAUGAAAUCAGCUGUGAAAGCUAGGCUAUAGCACGAGUAAAUCAUUGACUAUAAAAUUUGGUUAUAGAAAAAGGCUUCAUUUGGAUUACGGGAUUCCAAAUUCAUGAAUUUAGACAAUAUUAUAAGGUAAAAUUGUUUGUUAAGACUAUUACAAUUCAAAUAUGCGAAGAUUUUAGAUGUGAAAGGAAGGAAGAAAACAGAUGAAUUUCAAAUAAUUCAUUGCAUAAAGUUUCAAAUGUACAUCUAGUUAUUGAAAAUUCAUUCAAUCUAAUUUGGUUCUAUUUUCGUAGCACAUUUAGCCUUAUUCUCAAAUCCAAGUCAUUUUUUCCAAAUCCCUCCAUCCAAAUAAAGCUUUAAUUAAAUAAUAUGGUUGCUUGGUUGCUUGGCUUCUGAUCAUCUUCUGUGUCACCGAACUUAUCAAUGGAUGGUAGGCCCAAGGGAAAAUUCCCAUGACAGAAUUAUAUGGGAUAGGGCUGGUAAACCUUUUCUUGAUAAAUAUUAUAAAUAAUCAUUUGGAUUUAUUCAAUAUGUAUACAUGAUCAAUCUCAUGAGUUGCAACAAACAGUACUGAUCCUUGCAUUUCUGUUCUUAUCAGUUCAUCAUCAGGACGCAAAUGGAGCAAACUCCAGAAGCAUUCGCAACACAUCGGUGCUUCCUCGGGGCAAAAGUUUCAACUGGUGGCUUAGAAUGACCCUUUAUACAUGCCUAGUGCUCUCUGGCCAGUCAGUUGCAACACUCUUGGGAAGAUUGUACUUCGACAAAGGCGGCCAUAGCAAUUGGCUGCAAGCCCUUAUGAACCUUGCUGGCUUCCCCAUCCUGCUUCCCUACUAUUGCAUCCCAGCACUUAGCAAAAGAAAUAAUCCAACCACAAACAGUGUUCAAUCGGAACGGCCGCCGUCUACCUUAACCCUUGCAUCAGUCUAUGUCUCUCUUGGCCUCCUAGUAGCGUUUGGUUGCUUCUUGUAUUCUGUAGGGCUAUCAUACCUUCCUGUGUCCACAUAUUCCCUCAUCUGCGCAUCCCAGUUGGCCUUCAAUGCACUUUUCUCCUUCUUCCUCAACUCACAGAAGUUCACUCCUUACAUUUUCAACGCUCUCUUCCUGCUCACCAUCUCCUCCGUCCUCCUAGUGUUUCAAGGCGACUCUGACUCAGGCGCAGCCGGAGUAACCACCAAAAGAAAGUAUGUAAUUGGUUUCCUAUGCACCGUUGCAGCAUCAGCCUCGUAUGGAUUGACGCUUUCCCUAACACAGCUUGCAUUCAGGAAGGUUAUAAGAAAGGAAACAUUUACAGCGGUCAUGGACAUGAUAGUCUAUCAGUCACUGAUUGCAAGCUGCGCCAUCUUCAUAGGGCUUUUCGCUAGCGGAGAAUGGAAAGGUUUGAAGAAAGAGAUGGGGGAGUUUAAAUCCGGGAAGGUAUCUUAUAUCAUGAACCUAACAUGGUCAGCUAUAGUAUGGCAGCUGUUUGCUAUUGGCGGAGUAGGGUUAAUUUUUGAGGCAUCUUCCCUCUUCUCCAAUGUCGUCAGUGCUUUAGGUUUGCCUGUGGUUCCGGUUCUAGCUGUUAUCUUCUUCCAUGACAAAAUGGACCGAAUUAAGAUAGUGGCCAUGGUUUUGGCCAUUUGGGGCUUUGUUUCAUAUCUUUAUCAGCACUACCUCGACGAUCGAAAGGCCAAGACUGCUGAGAAUGAAAAUGCCAAUGGUGAGGUUUCUACAAUUCUCCCACCUUGAAACAAGCUUCUUUCCAGCGCUCAAGCACUAACCGGUUACCGAUUAUAUAUACAUUGUUCUUUCCAAGUGCAUGAAACAUGUUUAGAAUUUUAAGGCUCACAUCAUAGGUAAGUCAGAUUUCUAUACCUGCGUUACAGGUUUUCUGGUUUUCUUCUUUCUCAAUUUUUGUUUUAUGUUCUGGUUAAAAGAGCAAAAGCAUUUCAUUGGAAUUUCUACAAGUAGUAGAGUUGUAGAAAGUUUUGUACAAUGGAGGAGCGUGAACGGCUAUAUAAUAAGUAACUCCAGUGAAAGAUCCUUUUUAUUGACCAACUAACUCAUACAUUAAUUGGUAACUGUGUAACCUUAAAUUUUGAGACGGUGAUUCUAAAUUUCUGAACUCACAAAUAAGUACUGGCCGAUUCCCCCAAAUGAUUGAAGAAAUGCUUCAAUGUAGCAUAGAUACAACAAUAUUUUUGAAUGCUACCCCUUUAUCCCUCAUCACUAGAACAACAAAAGUUUGGAGGCGGUAGAUCUUAUAACCGUAAAACCCCUUCUGCCACCACUAGGGAUGGUAACACGCCGAUUCGGGGCCAAGUAUAGCAAUACCAUACCCGUCUUCAUUCCAUCCCCAAAAAUAAUUAUCAGGGAAUCUCCAUCCCCAUCUCUAUUGUGGGCUACAUUAAACACUAAUUUCAUUUUAAUAUAUCAUUCAACUCAAUUACAUUUAAUUCAACUCUAAAAUUCAACUCAACUACUCACAAUCAUUGUAAUAUUAUACUGUCUCAGCCUAGGAAUAUUUAAAAUUCAAAGAUACAUGUCCUCGAUUUUCCCUUGUUAAAGCUGGGGACCUGACGUGACUUGAAGGGGAAUUUUGUCAUCCCUAACUUUACUCUUAUAAUAAUGCAUAAUAGGUCUUUUUAACAAGUAUGGGGCAUACAAUAAUGCAUAUUAAGUCUGGCCUAAAUUAAAACUACUAUGUUAAUUUAAUAAUAAUUCAAAAAAAUUAAUAAAAUAUAUUAUUUUAAUCGCCUUAUUCUUGCCAUACUCAUAUAUUAGUAUUUAAAAUUUAAUGUAUCAUUGUAUCACAUCGUAUCGGCGUAUCUAUAUAACCGUACCAGUGCAAAGUUGAAAUCAUUCAUCCCAAAUUCCUAAAGAUAUUUUAUUUUCAUGUAGUCGAUUGACAAAACUUUGGAUGUUGAUUUACUAAAUUCGGGUGAUAUAUGACUAUACUGUAUAUUUUUUUUCUUGGAUUCUCUUAUUAUACGUUAGAAUUCAUGAUUUUUAGAAUAAUUAAUGGUAUAGUUAGGGAAAGAAGAAAAAAAAAAAAAAAAAAAAAAAAAAAAAACUCUUUCCCCUCUCCCUGGUUAAAAAAAGGGCAAAGGAAAGAAGAAAGAAAAACAAAGAUGCUUUCCCCGUCCAACCCUCUCUCUCUCUAUCCUUGUUUGCUCCCUUUCUCUCUGUAUGUUUUGCGUUUUUCAAGAUUUCAUUUAUUUUAACCACCACCAUUUCUAUCGAUUGUUUUAUUGGGUUUCAUCUUUUUUGUGACACUAGCCGGGGAAAUUUCUACAAGAAGUGGUGUGGUUCUUGCACAAAAAAUAUAAUUGAUAAGAGCAGUUAUUGUCAGUUUUAUUGUGCAAGGAUACAAUUCGUUGGGUGGCAGUUGCUUUAGUCAAGAAGUGAAAAAUAUUUGUGAAUGAACUUCUGAUUGUUGUUUCUGAAGACUGCCCUUAAUAGGUUUAUUAUCACCACUGUUUGGGUUCGUUUUGUUGGCAUAGACAAUUGUUCCAUCUCGUGGUGUUGUUGCGCAGUUUUUGGUCUGUCACAAUUUUACUGUCGAUUGGUUUUGUUGUGUUCUUUUUUUGGUGGCAUUUAUGCAGGAAGUGGUGUGGUUGUUGUAUAGAAGUAUGAUCGGUAUUGAAGAAGUUCUUGAUAGUUUGUUUGUACAGGGAUACAAUCGUUGGUUUACAUGUUUUAUAACACCAAUCUUUCCUCUUCUCUUUCCUUUUUCUGCUGUCACUUUUUUCUCUUCUCUUCUCUUCUCUUCUCUUCUCUUCUCUCCUUCUUCCUUCUCCUCCUUUUCUCUUCUUUUCUUCUUCCUAUUUAUCCUGUCCCUUUUCUCUCUUUCUUUCUCUUUUUUCUUUUUCCUUUCUCUUUUUUCUUUUUUCUUUAUCUUUUUUUCUUUUUCCUUUCUCUUUUUUCUUUUUCCUUUCUCUUUUUUCUUUUUCCUUUCUCUUUUUCCUUUCUCUUUUUCCUUUUUCCUUCUCUUUUUUUUUCUCUCCUCUCCUUUUCAUUUUUCUUUGUUUCUCUCCUUUUUCAUUUUUCAUUUUGUUUUGUUUUUCCUCCUUGUUUGCAAAGGCGGAACCAGAAAUUUUACAACGAGUGAGCUAGCUACAUUAAAUCAUGUUUUUGUACUUACAAUUUCUAUAUUUUUUGCAGAAUUAAAAGUAUAUAUUAAAUCAUGUAAACCACGUUAGUUCAUAGUUCAAUUGACUAAUUUUUAAUAUUUUAAAAAAAAAUAUUUGGAUACAAAGCGAUAUUGAGGGAGGGAAAAUUGAACCUUAGACAAUGGUAAAUGGUCUUAACUAUUUGAGCUACAAACCCCUUACAAUUUUGAAUUAGUUUUAACUUAAAACAAAUACAUAUUAAUUUGCAACCAAAAUUAUCAAAAUGAAAAUAUGUUCAACAACAAAAUUGAAAGUGUAUAUAUUUUAAUAUAUUUUUUUAUUGUUGCCAUGCAAUUAAAUUCAUAAAGGAUUGGAUUUUUUUUAUUUUUUAUUUUUACUUUAAUAGGUUAAUGGAUAUUGUGCUAUAUUUGAAAUAAGGUAAAUAUAUAGGUUUAAUUUUUUUUUUACCCAAAAACCUUGCUGGGCUACAUCCCAUUGUAGCCCUUGUGGUAGUUCCGCCCAUGCUUGUUUGUUUCUCUCUGCUUCUCUUUUUUCUCUCUUUCAUCCGGUGGCUGUCGCAUAUUGUGGAUUUCGUUGCUGAAUUUUGCAAUUGUGUUCGAGUUGUUGGCCUUCACGGCCACAUCAUUUUUAGAUCCAUGUUGACGUUGGCAAUGCUUUGUUAGUUGCAAGUUUCUGGUGCAGCCAAUGUUUUGUUGAUGUGUAGAUUAAAGGGAUGUAUAGGCUUCCUAUUCUUUCUUCUUUUUUUCUUAUUGUUUCCCUUUGAGUUGUUCCAGCGCAAGUAUUUUAUUUAAAGAUCACGCAUUUGUUCAUGUCUCUCAUGCUAUGUUUUGGAUAAUAUUGUUGUUUGAGUGUUAUAUUUAUACACUUUUAACUUUUAUGGUGCUUAUUAUUUUUUAAUAAAGCAUCUAUUCCAGAAAGAAAGAAGAAAAAAAAAAAAAAAAAAAAAAAAGAAAGAAGCUCUUAAGGUGAAAUUUUAAAGAAAUAAUAAAAUGAUAUUGAAGUACGGUCUUUUGAUAUAACUUGUGCCAGUGUUAUAAUGUAAAUAAACAACAUAAUUAAUAUUUUUUAUUUUACAAAAUAAUAUCAAUAGAUAUCUACUCAUAUAGUAUAAUUACUCGAAAUUUUAUCCCAAAACCCCACAUUUACCCUUUUUUUUUUUUUUUUUUUUGGGACAGACAUUUACCGCUGUUGUUCCUCUUUGAUCGGCACACCUUUUGCGCCUUUACGAGUUUCCCCAAACCAUCAAACUUCCUGAGUCAACAACCGUCAAAAUCUUUCACUCGUCUUCUUCGCAAAGCACAAGCACAGCCCUAGCCCUAGCCAUGGCUAUCAGCAUCACAGACUACGAAUCCAAUUGCGACACCCACGACCUCUACAGAGUAGAUUUCUUCGAUGACAAUAUCGAAACCCUAGUCACGCACACUCCGUCCAAGGUGAGGUCUUGGAUCCAGAAAAUCAAAUACGUACACCGUUUCAGGCUCCAAGAACUCAUCGUCGGCCUCGACGUUGAGUGGCGACCAUCCUUCACCCAAGGCGUCACCAACCCUGUAGCAACCCUGCAACUAUGCGUCGGCCACAAUUGCCUCAUUUUUCAGCUCUGCUACUGCGAUCGGAUCCCCAAGUGCCUUUUCGACUUUCUUGCGAACCCGAGCUUUACCUUUGUGGGCGUCGGGGUAGGGGAAGAUGUUCGAAAGCUGGCGGAUGAUUAUGGCCUGGAGGUAGCGAAUUCUGUGGAUCUUAGGGUUUUGGAGGCGAGGCACUACGGGCGGGACCGGCCCCGGAGCGUGAGCCUGAAGGACCUGGCAUCGGAGGUUCUAGGGCAGGAGUUUCAGAAGCCGAAGAGUAUUACUUUGAGUCACUGGGACAAGCCAUACCUCUCCCCCGCGCAAGUCAAGUACGCUUGUGUUGAUGCCUUUGUUUCUUUCGAAAUUGGCAAGGUCUUGAUCGCAGCAGAGGAGGACUAAAUAAAACAUGUGGGCUGCACAGUUUUUUAUUUUCUCUGUCUUUUCCUUUUUGGUAAGGAUGAUGAACAAUUGAUAAAUAAUUUAGUUUUGCUUACUUAAUGCAUAUGUGUGUCGUGCUAACUUCCUACAUAAGUAUGUAAAUGUUCUUUUGAAUUUUUAAUUUUUCUUUGAUGUCAAAAUCUUAGACCUCUGUUCUUAUAUGGUUGGUUCCCAAGUUUGGGAAUUUUUUAGUGGUACAUGUGUAGCUUUGAGUCAAAGCCGUAUACUAGUUAGUUUUUUUAUAUUUUCCGUAUCCCCGUGUACGCGUGUCCGUGCAACAUAGGCUUUGACAAUAUGGUUUUUGUGUGUUCUUUUGAAAUAUUUUCAUGUGAAACUCUUAGGUCUCUCUUAUGUUUCUGAAAUUUGGGGAGCCUUUCAAUUUUUUGGAAAUUUGUAUUAGCAAGGUUUUAAUCCAGGUUUAGAAGGUUAGACCAUUGUUUGGCUCGUUUUGCCAAAUAAUGGCUGUUCCCAGUGGAGAGUGGAAGGGUUUAAAGAAAGAGAUAAUUGAACCAUAGGUCUUUUCUGUGCAUGCUUGGACAUGAAAUUACUUGGCUCCUUAUCAUCUUAGCCUAAGGGUAAAAUCCCAUGGCAGAGUUUUUUGUGCAAAUAUUUUUGUAUCUGGGAUAGAGCUGGUAAACAUUUUCUUGAUAAACAUAAGCAAUAGAAGCAUUCAUUUGUUCAAUAUGUCGAGAUUAUCAAUCUCAUAUAAGUUGCAGUUAACAGAACUGAUCCUUGCAUUAUUACCAUUCUUAUCAGUUCAUAUCAGGAACCAAAUGGAGCAAACUCCCAAAGCCUUCCCAGUCUGUCUCUCUUGCCCUCCUAGUAGCAUUUGGUUGCUUCCUGUAUUCUCUCUCUAGGACUAUCUUACCUUCAUGUGUCCACAUGUUCCCUCAUCUGCGCAUUCCAGUUGGCCUUCAAUGCGCUUUUCUCCUUCAUCCUCAACUCACAGAAGUUCACUCCUUACGUUUCAACGCUCUCGUCCUGCUCACCAUCUCCUCUGUCCUCAUUGUGUUUCAAGGCAACUCCGACUCUGCAGACGCAGCCGGAGUAGCCUUCAACUGGUUUUGUAUGCACCGUUGCAGCCUCAGCGUCGUAUAGAUUGACUCUUUCCCUAACAUAGCUUGCAUUCAGAAAGGUUAUAAGAAAGGAAACGUUUACAGCAGUCAUGGACGUGAUAGUCUGUCAGGUUGCAAGCUUUGCUAUCUUGGUAGGACGUUUGGUCAGUGGAGAGUGGAAGGGUUUAAAGAAAUAGAUGGGGGAGUUUUAAUCAAGGUUUCUUACAUCAUGAACCUCACAUAGUCAGCUAUAUAGUGUGGUUGCUGUUUGCUAUUUGCGGAGUAGGGUUGAUUUUUGAGGCAUCUUCCCUCUUCUCCAAUGUCGUAGGUACUUUAGGUUUGCCUGUGGUUCCAGUUCUACCUGUGAUCUUCUUCCAUGACAAAAUGGACCGAAUUAAGGUAGUGGCCAUGGUUCUGGCCAUUUGGGGCUUUGUUUAUCUUUAUCAGCACUACCUGGACGAUCAUAUGACAGCUGAGAAUGAGAAUGCCAUAUGCGAACGCUGAAGCACUAACCAGUUAGCGAUUUUAUACUCUCUGGUUUUCUGGUUUUCAAUUUUUUUUUUUUUACUCCGUUUUUUCUGGUUAAUAGAGGAAAGCCAUUUCGUUGGAAAUGACAUGGGAAAUUAUUUCCCUUCAAAUUUGUUUCGUUCCGUGAACCAAACGGGACCUUAAUUUCUACAAGUAGAGUUGUAGACCUGGACGGCUAUAGAAUAAGUAACUGGAGUGAAGGACCCUCUCUCUUUUAGAAUGAGUUGAUACGACAACAUAUUAUGUUGGAAUGAAUUGAUAAAAGGGAAUAAAAAAAGAAUGGUAGAUUAAAAAAAAUCGUGCUAUAUAUUAAAGGAAAUUGUGUUUUUAUUGACCAAUUAACUCAUAAAUUAAUUUGGUACCCGUAUAAGUCAUCUUUGAGACGGUAAUUCUAAAUUUCUAAAUUAACAAGUAUCAAUUUUAACGUAUUUUUUUAAUACAAUCGAUAGUGUAAACUACAAAGUGGAAGGGGCUCUAUUGGUUUGCAAGUCACUCCGUUACACUGAACUAGACCUCUUUGAACUUAUUGUUUCUACACAAUAGUUCAAAUCCUCAACCCCAAAAAAAAAAAAAAAAAAAAAAUCUUCACAAGUAAUCAAUUUUACGUCAAAACGCUCAAUGCACCCUCUUUUCAUGGAUAGUGUGAAACAAUAAAAAUUUUGGGGGGAUAGAUUAUGAAUAAGAGUACUUCCAACCCUGGUGCCAUGACAAAGGGCAAGUAAGGGCAGACACUAUUUAUAUGAAUAGUGACUACCCUACUCUUUUUUACUUUGCUUUUUCACCCAUUGUUAUGGCAAGUAAAGACAAAUACUAUUCACAUAAGAUAUAAGGAGAGAAAUUUGUAUGAAGUUUUGGUGUGGGAAGUAAAGAACAUGACUAUGUAUUUAUAAUUAAAAAAAUUCUAAAUUUUUUGGUAAUAUAUAUAUAUUUUUUUUGGUAUUUAAAUUAGUCACUGAUGCCAUACUAACAUCAGCAAACCCAGACAGCAGCUCAGGCAAAUCUUAUCUUUGGGCUUGCCUAGGCUGAUGGAGCUCACUCCUUGCCCAGGCUAGCCUUCACUGCUGGAGUUGGGUUUUGGGAAUUGAGGGGCCUUCUGCCCGUACUGGCCUGCACGGGUAGUAGUGGUCUAUAGGGCUCAUCAAUAGGUCGGGUCGGGCUAGCUUGACCCAAAUUUAACGGGCUUAGGCUGAGCCAGGUCGGACUUUAAAGAAGAGAGAGAAAAUACCGGGCCGGGUUUUUUUAGAAAAUUCAAAGCCCAAGCCCGACCCAUAAGCCGAGCUUGAGAAAGCCCAUUGGGCAGGACCGGGCCGAAACAGACCUACUUUAUUCGAAAAAAAUCAUAAACUUAAUCAUAAGGGCAUUUUAGUCUAAAUUUGAGAUUAAACUCACUUAAUUCCAACAUUUUCAUAUCAAACCAAAUUUAUAAAAUACCCAAUAAAGUCACACAACUUAAUAAGAUUUUCCACAAAAAUAAUAAAACCAAGUAUUAUUUUGAGGUUAUUACAUAAUUAGACCGUAAUACGUUUUAAGAAAUAAUGUUAAAAAAUAAUAAGUAUCAAAAAUAUUUUUUUUUUAAAGGAUGGUAUAAAAAAAUAUGUAAAUGUUUGGUGAUGUGUUCAAGAAAAACAUGAUUAUAUUUGGUGGUAUGAUUAUGUUUCGUGAUAUGAUUAUAUUUGGUGAUAUGAUAUGUUAUUCAUCUUAUUUGUAUUAAUAAUUGACACAAAUUAAUGUGCUAAUCAUCCAAUUAUAAACUAUGAAUGAGUAAAGAAAAGUAAAUGAAAUGAAACAAAUUAUAUAUGUGAUUUAGGUGAUAUAAUCCUAAUCCUAAACUCUUGUUUAUACAAAAUUAUAUAUGUAUGCGGGCCUAACGGGCCGAGCUUUUGUGGGCGGGCCGGGCCGGGCUUUCUUGGGCUUAAUCGGGCCAGGCUUAUGGGCUAGGCUGGACUUCAGACACCCAAGCCCAAGCCUAGCCCAGCCCAAGGCGAGCCAAGCCAUCUCAAAGCCCAUAACGGGCUAGGCCACCUCAAAGCCCAUAACGGGCCGAGCUGGACUUUUUUUCAAUGACCCUGACGGGCCCCCAUCGACCCACAAACCCGCGGGCCAAAUGAUGAGGCCUAGUGGUCUAAUAGUGUCACUUUGGGGAGGGCAUAGCCCAUUGUCCCUUGCUCCACAACUAGACAUGCCAGCAUGAUAGCUAAUAAACGGCGGGAGAUUCAAAUGAAAAUAAAACGCGGGACAAACUUGUGCGCCAUCGCCUAAACACAAAUACCAGCACAAAAGCAACAUAAUUUCAACAAACUUUGUUUCCUAAUUUUUUUUUUUUCCCUUUCUGGGUACGCAGAUUAAGGCCUCUUCCCACUUGUUCCAUCGUUUCUGGUUUGUAUUGAUCUUUCUCAAGUGUCUGAAAGAUACUAAAUUUUUAUCCUCUUUCAUUUUUUAUUUAGCCAUGGGAGGGCCUCCAGAUCUGAAAAACUGGCUCCCAAGAUACCAGUAUGAAUCACCUGCACUGAAUUCCGAGUCGUUGCUAGAUGAUUUCGGCAUCGAUGAAGUCGAAAGAGAAGAAAAAGAAGAAAAUUCAGUUGGGUUCAGGGGAAAUGGAAAUAAAGAUGGAGCUUUUGUCCAUGAGAAGCAAAUCUCAAAUGGGGUUGUGGAAUCUGGCAGCUCUUCUGGAAAUGAGCAUGAAAACCAAUAUUUAAGUAAGGUAGCCUUGCUUCUUGUCCUUUUUUGUUUCAUGGGUUCUAUUUCAUAUGGAACACAAUCAAAAGAUUUCAUAGUUUCUAGAUAUAAUUUAUGGUUCUGAAUUGGAUUUUAAGAUUGUAAAUUAAAAGUAGCAACAAAGAAAUAUAGUACUAAGGGAUAAACCAAUGUCCCACAUUUACGCAUUGAACACAAUUUUCUUGCUGCAGAUUCCAGAUUCUUCGGAAUCAACUUCGUUCACUUCAGGUUUGUAUCACUCAUAUCCAUAGUUUUUUUUCCCGCCCAAUUUAUUGAAUUGUUUGGCUACUGAGAAAAUGGAUAAUAUAAGCAAUGCAGUCUUUGAAUAACGUUCUCUGGUUCCAUUUAUUUAUUGGCAAUCAAACAGCAGAUAUGGCAUUUAAUGUUAACAAUUUUUUUAUUAAAAAAAAAACAAAGUAAUUGAUCUGUUUGUGUUUCCUCAUCUGUUAGAGCCCACUGACAUCAGAAACUGGUUCUCAAGCUAUGUGUAUGAAUCUCCUUCAUUGGAUACAACUGAUGAUUUUGGAGAUUCUGUUGGCAAAGAAAGUAAACAUGAGAAGGAUGGCUUUUUGGUUGGAAACAGAAACAGGGAAAAAGAAAAGGUAUUAGGGGAUUUUAGCAUAAACAGAAGUGAUAGCGAGGAGGUUGUUGGUGAAACGGUACAGUCAGAUGGGCUUGCAAAUUGCAGCAUCUCUUUGAGAGAUAAUGAGCAGGAAAGGCAGCCUUUAAGUGAGGUACUAUUUCUGUAUCUUUCCUUUUCCUAUAGAGAUUUCAACAACCUAGUCAGUAAAUCCUUAUUCUCAAGAUCUUGAAGUGAUUGCAGGAUAUAACUAAUGAGAAGGAAAACAUAAAGAUCAAUCACCAAUUAUAGAAAGCAAGGAUUUACACUCCGUUAACAACCUGAAUCUACUAAAACAAAGAACUAGAAGUGCAUUACAACGAAAAGCGAAUAGUUUUCCUCACACUCACAAAUAAUCUGUGUCUCUCCCCUUGUUCUCUAACAAGAACCCAAAUAUACACAAUAGUCUCACACAAUUUUCUUCUUGUAGACUCCAGGUCCUUUGGAGUCACCUUCACUCCUUUCAGGUUUGUCUCACUUAUUUCUGAAGUUAUUGUUUUUUCCCUUCGUUGAAUUGUUGGGCCACUGAGAAAAUGUAUGUAAGCAUUGAAUCUUUGAACUGUAUUCUCUGCUUCCAUUUGUUUUCUUGGCAAUAAAAUGUAAGAUGUGGUUUUUUAUGUGAAGAAUGUAAGAAAAUGAAGUUAUUGAUCUGUUUGUGCUUCCUAAUCUGUUAGAGCCUAUUGACAUCAGAAACUGGUUCUCAAGCUAUGUGUACGAAUCUCCUUUGGUUGAGACAAAUGAUUGUUUUGGAGAUUUUGUUUGCAAAGAAAAUAGAAGUGGGAAGGAUCGGUUUCUGGUUGAAAACAGAAACAGAGGAAAAGAAGAGGUUUUGGAGGAUUUCAGUAAAAAGAGAACUGAUGGUGAAGAGGUUGUUGAGUUGCAGUCUGAAGGGCUUGCAAAAUGUGUCAGCCCUGGGAGAGAUAAUAAGCAGGAAACAAAACCUGUAAGUGAGGUACUCUUUCUAUAUCUCCCCUUUUCCCUAUAAUUUCCCACUUUUCUUUGUUAAACCUUUCUUUCUUCUGUUUUGUUUUCUUUGGUUAUGAUAGUUGUGUAUUGAUAUUGAUGAAUCAAUAACUGACAUAAUAAUUCUUGCUCAAGUCAUCAUUACCCUAAUAAUGUCUGUAAAUUACAGGGUCAUCCCAGUCGAGUAGAUGAAAACCUACCUAGUCAGAAUGAUUUGUAUCUCAACCAUAUGCCUAAAUCAUUGGAAAACCAUCUUAUGGGUUCAGCACAAGAUGUCGAAAUAGGUUCUCAAUCCACCAAAAUAAAGCCAUCGAACAUCGAAAGAAGUUCAUGCUGCAAUAAUGAGAAGUCUCCACAAUACAUGACUCAUAACAAGGAUUUCACUUUACAGGACAAUUCAGAAGCAAAAUCCCAUGCAGAAGUUGAUUGUUUAUUAAUUCAAGGUGAUGCAGAUUUAAUUCCAGUUAAUGGAGCGUCAAAAAGAAAACCAACUCAUGGAGGCGUUAAUGGAAAAGAAAUAUCAGAAGAUGGUUUUAUUAGAACAAGGAAAGACAAACUUCCAAGAAAAAGUUAUGAAAAUAUUAUGGAAGGACGACAAGAGAUCAGUAAAGUAACAGCUCCAUUAGCAGGUGGAAGGGAUGCUGUAGUGAAAAGAAAGCCCUUAGCAGAUGCAACAAAUUUUCAUCAUUCUCCUGCGAUGGAGAUCACUGGAAAAUGGAAGUGUCCUCAGAAAAGUAAGCCAAAUCUAGGACCCUCUUUGAAGCAGCUUCGACUAGAAAAAUGGGUUCGAAAGUUGUGAAAGCUUAAAAUUAGAGUAUCUUGGAUGUUUAGAGUCCAGUAGAACGUAAAAGGGGGUCCUAACUAAGACAGGCAGUUGUGAAACGACUAUUCUUGUGGCACAAGCUUUGAAAUUUGGAAAAUCACCGAUGUUGAAGAGAGAACAGCCAAAGCAAACCUUAAGUUCACUGCUUGCUCUUGCAACCGAGAUAGACAAUUGCUAAAAGACUACUACCAAAUAGCAAUUUAAGUCACUGUGGGCUAACCCUUCAAAUUGAGCAUAAGCAGAUACUUUCUGUGGUGGCAAGGUUUCUCAGAGUGAUAUUGCUCAUAAUAACUAGGCUAUCAUUUGAGUUUAUUUCCAAGCUUUGCACAUUUUUCCUUGUGUAAAUUCCUCCGAGAAGGAGAAGAAUAACAAAUCAGAUCAUGAUUUUCCUCUCAUGUUACUAGAAUUUUAAAUCCCGGGUUUCAGAAUUUAUUUCUCCAUGUGUUUGAGAGUUAUUUUUUCUUGAACAUUAUGUAUCGGAAGCGGAUACACUGCUUGUGUAUUGUAUGUUUGGAUCUGAUUAGGUUUUAAUUGUAGCUUGCCACUUCACUCUUGUACUGAUACAAUGGCUACUAAAUUGACACGUCCUAUAUUAGUCAUUUUUCUUAAGAAACCAAAUGCCAUUCUGCCAUUCAGGUUACUAAAUCAAAUUGGGAAAAAACCGGUCCCAACUUCGGAACUUCCUAUAUAUGUGUAAGGCAAUUAAGUUGCCUAUGUAUGCCACAACUGCUGCUUCUUUUUCUUCUUCUUCUGCCUCUCUGUAAUCUUCUUAACCAAAGUCUAAGAACCAUGAAAUUUUUGGACGUGGGCGAGGCUAAGAAGCAGGUCUUGUUUUCACUGCCAACAACACUGACCAAUGUGAUGUUUAACUUCAUCAUUUUGGUGUCUGUGAUGUUUGCUGGCCACCUUGCUCAGCUUCAACUAGCUGCUGCAAACCUAGCCAUUUCAUGGGCUAAUGCCACCGGCCUUGCUGUUGUGGUAAUAAUAUUACUACUCGCAAUUAAUUUCUCCGGUUAUAUAUAUAAGUUUUUCUUUUUUAAUACUGUUGGAGUUUAGAGUGUAUUGUUUUGAUACUGUUGUUGGUUUGUGUGUGAAGGGGUUUAGGAAAAAUAGGACACAUGAAAUAAAGUGAUUUUAUUAGAUAAGAGGAGAAUAGUACGUAGUUUUGUGUAGCUAAUUGGCCUCCUAGUGGUGUAGCUAUUGACCGUGGCGGAACCAAGUUAAAGGCUAACCUGGUAUGUAGCCCAUGGAUUCUUUUUCUUGAGCAUGCAUGAGAAAUGAUUUUUGGGGUUGUGGUCACAGGAUGAGGGUGGCAAAAGUUGGCCUGCUAUGUUAAUCUGGCCACAUAUCUGGUUGGCGUGGCUAUUUCCGGCCUUCUUGGGUUCAAGACCAAGCUACAUGCUAAAGUGAGACAUUUGUUAUUUAUAUACCAAGCUAGUUGAUUUGUUCUGUUUUAUUUAGUUAGUGUUUCAUUAUUUGAUGUUUGUUCUUAACUUGAUUAUAUUAUGGUUUCAGGGGUUGUGGAUUGGACUAAUUUCUGGCAUCACUUGUCAAACCAGCAUAAUUUUGCUCAACGUAUUGUUCAAGAAUUGGGGCCCUCGAUCCGAUAUUACCCGACCUGAUACCUGAUAGACAAUCUUUUCUGUUCCAACAAAUAAGAAAAACAGUAUCUAUCUUUGUUAAGGUUUUGCUUAGACUCAAGUCCAUAAAUCAGAUCUCUAUUUCGGUACAACGAGAAGGAGCUCCAUCGACGUGCUUCGCAUGCAUGCAUGGUGCGCGUGCACGUUUGAAGAGAGAAAAUAAAAUGAGAACUGCUAUACAUUGUGGCUACUCAAAAUCUACAAGGCAGUCCACACACAACGUCAAUCUCCAAAAGCCCCUAAUUCAAACCGGCCCAACCCUCAGUACAACAAAGUGCACAAAACAAACAAUGAAAAAACGGGUAACAUAAAUUCUAGCUCACCACCACGACAGCCUGCAUCAAAACAUUGCUUUACAAUGUUAGACAUUUCACCUAGGGUGGAAAAAGUACUAAAGAAAGGGCAAAGAAGAAAUGCGAAUUCCGGAACUGCUAAUGCAUUCGAAUAAGAAAAGAUUGUGAAGAAACAACACAGGACUAAUGCCAGCUUGAACAACACUAUUUUCUUGAAACUCAAUGCUGUAGUCUCUACAUUAAAUGAAAAAUGAUAAAUCUGAAUUCUGGUAUGUCAAACAACUAGCACUGAUUCCAUUUUCACAAAAACAAAAGGCUUCUUCCAAAAACUGAAUUGAUUUUCCCUUGGUUUGGCUAACAUUUAUUCCUUUGAAAGAACCCCGGAUUUUGUAAAUACCUCAUUGCGUUAACUUCACAAAACAGGGCAGCUUUUGUUUUUGUUUUUUUUUUCCAAUGUCACGACGUUUGUCCAUUUCGCUUUUUGACUUUGUUAAACACAUUAAAAUCAAUGAAAUGGAGAAAACUAACAAGAGCCAGAAAUUUGAGAAUCUAGUGGUACACACCAAGAUUUUUAAAAGUCUCCGCCGUUGGUAGUGCAGGCAAUGACAUCUCUGCAAAACAAUAGUAGUAGCCAUGAGGUCAUGGACUUCACAUAAAACGGCAAAUAUUCUAUAAAUAUAAUCUCAGUAGUAUCUGUCAUAUAGUAUAUAUUAUGAAGAAAAAUGGCAACAGUUAUGCUUUGACCAAUCAGUUACCAGGCGCACAAAGGGACACCGAUGAAAUUGAGGAAGACGAAGGCCACGGUGCUGCAAUGUUGUCACUCAAAUCACAUAUAAAGCUGAUGCCUGUUAUAUUGUCAAAAAUCACAUCUGAAGGCAAGCUUUUAAGUAGACACCCUGCAUUUGAGCAAAACCAAAAUUAUCAAUUUAAUAAGAAUAAUGAUUACCAACUUCGCAUGCAAGGGAAUUCCUUUCAUUUCCGUCAAGUAAAUACAAGAGAACAUGAAAACCAACCCCACACUCAAGAACACCUGGGAUAUGUACAUUUAGGAUGCAUAUACGUUAAACCACCUGAGCUAAUUGACGCCCAUUUAAGUAAGUCACACUAUUAGCAUUGUAACCAACAUCAUUAUAAAGCAUCCACAACGCAGUCCAAAGAAAAUUUCCCAGAAUACAUUUUCAGUCACACAUGAAGCACACAAUGCUUUUCAGCAUCAGGUAUUCUUAUAUUUCUUGGAAAAUAACUACUGGAACGAAUACAGCUAUACAGAAUGCUACACAAGAUUGGAUAUCAAGUCAUGGGAAUGAAUAUAAUGAAUACAUAAAGGAAACAGGGAAAAAAAUUGAACAUAUCCUACCUUGUUGACCAUAUGCUGCUUCAGUGCCCCCAGGGAUCCAGAAAGAAAAAAAAGAUCAGAUAUAGUAAAGGAAAAGAGGCAGAAAAUUUGAAUGACACAGCAGGAUCAGUACCUUGAAUGCUGAAGUCUUUCAAGUCAACAUCACAAAGCUCAUAAACAUUUUCCAUUACCCCGCCUUUCCUCAACAUGGACCCAAACACUGUAGCACAGAUUAUAGCUUGUUUAUUUGUAAUCAACAUUUGCUUUUGUAUUCCAGAGAUGUAAGUGUUUAAUGAGCUACAGCAGGAAGGACUAGGGGCAGCAACAUUGCGACAUGCUUUAACUACUUCUGAAGGCUGCUUAAAAUCCAAAGGACAAACUGCACAAGUGAGAAUCAUUUUCAUGAGAAGAGAUGUACACUACAAGACAAGUCCAAAAAUACACCACUUAAAGAUGUAAUCAUCAAGUUAUACAAACCAAAUAAGAUGUGAAUAGUUCACGUACUAGUUAAGCAAGCCAAAUCUCAAACUUAAAAACUCCAUAGCAAAAGUGGGUAAACAAACAGAAAGGUUUAUCAUUUUUCUGUUCACAAAGCCAGCGCAUCUUAAUUUCUUGUUGCUCAGGAAUUGAAGUGGAUUUUUGUGUUCAACACUUUCCAGUUCCUGGGUUACAGUUAACAACUAUAAUACAAAUGCUGGAAUAUUUACCAAAAUUACAAUACCGGAAAAAAUAUAUAUAUUCGAUGCCGCACUAAUUCGUUAGAGCACAUGAUUUGGUAAUCAGUGAAUCAAGGUUGUGAAACUGUUGUUCAAAACACAACCAACUUCUAGAAUUUUCAUACAAGCAUGGCAUGAUAUUCAGCACAUUUAUCUCUUGAGAUAUUUUCCAUUACCGAACAUUAAUCACUGUAAAAGCAUACAUAUAAAUUAGGUUAAAUAAUUAUUAGUGAAAAAGAACAAAUGAUUAAGUUACCCUAUAAGAUAGUUAUGAAAAUUAACAUAACUCAAACACUUCAUACUAUAAAGAACUAAACGACAAUGGUAAAACUAGAGAUGGGAAUCCUUCAUGGCCCAUGAAAGGUUAGGCAUGAAAUUAAUAGUAUGGUUCAUAAAAGAAAAGAAAGUACCAAAUACUGAUUUUUUUUUUUUAAAGUUUCCUUUUUCUUCAACCAUCGAUUCAAACAAAUUGUCUUUUCUUUUUCUUUCUUGGCUCUUAAAAUUUCAGAUUUCAAUAAAUGGAGGAACCUUCUUACUGCAUGAGUUGCUCUUUUGUAUUCCUCAUUUAUUCAUUUCCCACCAAUAGGCAAGACAAAAAACUUAACACGAAAUUAGAUGCUCAAACCGCAGUUCCUAAAGUCUAAAAUAAAUUGGUCGUGUACAUAAUUUAACAAUGUACCUUUGUUAACUUUGCAGGCAGAUAAUAUUCGAAAUGCAGUAUUUGCAGCAUCUGACAAGAGUUUCCUCGAAAGAUAUGUAAAAACCACUCCUUUACAAUCGCUUAGAGUAUCAGUGUAGUUAAGCCCACCCACUAAAUUUUUGUUCUCAUUCAUCAUCAAUUGUUUUCCUGAGAUUUGACGUGCAGCAUCCAUGAUCGCAAGCUGGCAGAUUGGUCUGCAGCACUCUUUAAGAGGAUCAACAGUUGUGCAGGCCUCCAGUAAUCCACUUGUAUUUACUGUUUUAUCAAAGGUACUAAUGUCCUUCACUGGACAGGACCCACCCGUAAGAUUUGAUGAAUUUAUGGAGCAAAGUGUAGCUAUUGUACUGUUUGCACCCCUGCUGACUAAGAUACUGAUGAUAUCUGUAAAACAGUCAUUUGCGACUGAAUUUUGCAAAACCAACUUAUCAGGCUUGAAGCUAUCGAGACCCCGGAAGAUACGGAUCAAACUACUAAACUGUGGGCAACAUAUUACAUUUCCUACAAGUGCUGCUAGGGGUUGAGAACAAUCAGAUGCGGUUUUUUCCAUUACACUUGAUAUAGUAGAGAAAUUUACAGGACAUUUCCCAGUUAAAACAGGCUCAUAUCUCGUCGGAAAAGUUGGGUACAUUGGUGCCAAAGGAUCAUCUGCAGGAUUUGGGUAAUGUGGAAUAACAGCUGGUGAUAUUUCUAUGGGAUCAAAGAACCCAGUAGUAGGUGGAUUAGCCAGGCCUAGCUCUGCCAUUGAAGAAACAUGACUUCGGUUAAAUACUGUCUGCACUGCCACGACAUCUUGAAAACUGGAUAACCAGAUAAAGAAUAACAACAACUGACAGCACAAAUAACCUGCAGCCACAUAUAAGCCUGUCUUCAGAAGUUGUGGCAAGGAAUAUAACUACAGAACCCAUACAUUGCAAGUUUAGAUAUGUUUAAUGAAAAAAGGUACCAAAAGAAUCAACUUAAGGGAUACCUAAAUGAUACCUAUCCUGCAGUCAUAACAGCACUACACUAGGGAACGGGACCUUGAUGAAUCACCACAUAUUAAGUACUAUGAAUUCAUAAUACCCAUUUUUUUGCUUCUUCCUACUAUAGAAACCCUAUGCAAGCUAGCUAUAAUAAAUACAAACUUACCCUUAUGAUGAAUAACAGUCUGAAAACAGUCCAUAACUCCCAAAGCCCUCGGGUAACAUUGAGAUUUACGUAAGUAAAUGGUACUUUAGUUGGUGAUAGGCCCAAAAAUUGCUCGCGCCAAUGCAGCAAUACCUAUGAAACCAUCAAGAUCAGCAAAUACACAAGGAAAAGUCAUUAACUCAUAUCGAGUGCAGAUGAAAAGACAUAAAUGUACUACCAACAUAAUUUUUUUUUUUUUGGAUGAAUAAUUUUCUUAGAAUAUAUAUAUAUAUAUAUGUAUAUACAUAAUCCACCCGUUACAGAAUUCAUAAUCACAAACCCAAAUAGAUACAAACUUGCACUCGCAAAUAGGCCUAAUACUGGUUGGUGUGUCUAGUAGUGUGACCAUGUUCUUCAAUUCUUCAGAAACCAAAGAACUCAAGCAUACCACCAUACAUUUUCAUUUCUCUGACAAGAAGCCAAUGAUAAACCGCAAAAAUCGAAAAUUAUAUAUAUAUAUAUAUAAUUUUAAUUUUUUUUAAAAAAGGAAGCUAGAAAACUGAAAAUCCAGAGAGAACGGAAGCUAAAAGAACUCAUGACAGCUCACAACACCAAUUGAAAAUUUAAUCUUUUACCCUCCUUUUGGGAAUCAAGAAAGGAAGGAAAAGUAAAGGAACCAAAUCCAUUAACAAAUCUGAAAUUUCACAUUUGUUUUAAUCUUAGAAAAAUGAAAAGAAAAGGAAAACUUUAACUACCAAUAACAAGUUGCACCUUUUUUUCCCUGUAUUUUUCCACACUUUCUCAGCCACCAAACAGCAGAUAAUUACAGAUAUACAAGCAAAUAACGAAAAAAAAUACCCAAAAGAAACAGAAAAGUACCUGAAGACGUUGAAGCCAUUGAACAUAGUUUUCAGUAAGAAAUUGAACGGUUUUCGAGGUUCGCGAACCUGAACCCGAUCAAGCCCGCAUGGUUUUCAGGUCGAUGGAAUCGGGUCAAUUUGGAUACCCGAAAUCUGAGCUGAGCUGAAAUGGUGAACUGAUCACUCGGACUGUGUUUUCAGUAACUGCUUUUGAGGUUGGAUGUAGUGGACGACAGCGGUCUCGACCUUUUGCCUUUUUUGACUUCUACGGUUCUACACGUUUGACCCGGGUCUCGGGUCUCGGGUUUCGGGCCCCUCAAGCUGUGCAGUUCAAGGCCCAGGACGUGGUCAAGGCCUAUCCGGGUCGCCCGACAAUCAAAUCGGUGUAUUUAUGGACCAACCAUCCAAACGGUGCGUUUUGUGAUGCAUAGCCUGCGAGGGUUUGGGGGGUUUAUAUCUUUCUACGGCAUAUCUCACUCUCUCUCUCCCCGUCUCAAAUUAUCAAAAUUCCAUUUCUUCACUGAGAAAUGCGUUGAUUUCGAUCAAUGGAUCAUGAAGCGAUUUAAUUUUGAUUUGGGUUUGGCUUCAAUGAAUUGAUUCUUACAAGUUCCAGCAACAGCUCUAUUCAUAUCUCUCUUCCAGGUUUUUUCUGUUUCUCUUCCGACAUUUUUACUUUUUUUUUUAAUUAGAAAAUAGUUUAUGUGCAUACACAAAGGGGUAUGCAUAUUUCGUUAUGUUAUUGCGGUUUUCAUGUUUGGGUUUCUUAGAAAAUGUUUGUUCUGUGUCCAUGAACUGCAAUUCAAUUUUUGUGUGCGCUUUUGUUUGGUACUGGCAAAAUGGAAAGACUCAAGUUAAUUUCUUUACCAAAAGUUAGGAAUUUGUUUCCAAUCCUUCAAUUUAUAAGAGCAGCUUCUGAGAUGUUAUUCAAAUGCUGUUAUAUUUUACCGCAUCCAGAUUCAAGUUUCUGAACUUCGAAAGUCAAGUUCCCAAAGUUUAUGUGUGCACUUGUGCUUCUCUAUACAGAUGCAUAUAUCUUUUCUUUUUUAUGUUAUAAUGCUUUGUUUGGUCUAUGGGCAAAUGGGUUUAUUGGUUGUGAAGUGAGCAACCAAUUACCCUCACUCAAAUGAGGGGAAUUCAUUUUAUGUUCUUUUAGCAGAAUUGGGGACUAAUUACCCUCACUCAAAUGGGUUUAUUUAGACGUUCUUCUCUUUCUUGCAUCUCUUUUGCUAUCAGAUCAAGAUUUGGGGUUUUGAAUUAGUAAAGUUUCCAAAUUUGGUGUGUGUGUGUGUGGGGUGUGUGUGUGUGUGUGUGUGUCUGUAUCUGUGUCUGUGUCUGUGUCUGUCUGUCUGUCUGUCUGUCUGUCACUGUGUAUGUAUAUUGAACUUAAUUGAGUUGAGGAAUUGCAUUAGGUCUAUCGUGGAUGCUUAAGAGGUUUAUUUAUGAUUUUAGGAUAUUCUGUACAGGUGGUGUGGCACAAUAGAUUACUUCCUUGGCAAAAAUACUGCAGCGGCUAUGCAGAAUCUUCACCGUGUUAUAUCCCGUCUUUCCUCAACUUCACUUGGCACAAGCACGAGCGCAGCAAAGUUUCUGAGAGAGAAAAGUAAACCCACUUUGGGAAACAAUGAUGUGCUUUCAUUGAAGAAUGGUACCGAAGCUUCUCAAUUUAUCACCUCCCGUUUUUUUUCUUUCAAAUCUGGAGGUGAUGGUGAAAAUAAUGGCAAAGAUACAUUUAGCAAUAACGCAUCCGAUGAUUUGGGUUGGGAUUCUUUAUCCGCAUGGUCGACUGGAUUGACCAAGGAGCAUUUUGAUGGGGAGGUGGCUGGCAGACGGAAAAGUGGAGACGACACAUCUCAAUCUUCAGUCAUCUCUGGUCUGCAAGAGAUUGAAGAUAGAAUAAAGGAACUGGAGGAAGAGAACCGGAAAAGUAAGCGGUUUGUGGAUGGAUGGGGAGAGAGAUUAAAAGAGGUAAGUGCACUUUUGAAGCAAGUGCGUGAGCCGGGUGCAAGGGGGUCUUAUCUCAAGGACUCAGAAAAGGCUGAGAUGUAUCGGUUGCACAAGGAAAAUCCUGAGGUUUACACUGUUGAGCGGCUGGCCAAGGAUUAUAGAAUUAUGAGGCAGAGAGUGCAUGCCAUUCUUUGGCUCAAGGAGCUGGAGGAAGAAGAGGAAAAAAAGCUUGGUCGUCCUUUAGAUGAUUCUGUUGAGCUCCUGCUUGACACCUGUCCUGAGUAAGAUAUCAAUUUGGAAGCAUUACUUCUUUGACAGUAAAGGUUUCUUGAUGUGUUAAUUGUAGUUGCAAUUAUCUUUAUUAGUAUUUCACUUCUGCUUUAUGCAUUGGCUAGUGGUGCAUAGCUGAUUUAAUAGCCACCUUGUAUUUCUCAUAGUGCCCGAAUAUUUUCCUCUUUUCAGAUUUUUCAAUUCUCAUGACCGUGAAUUCCAUGUCGCUUCCCUUCCUUACAAACCUGACUUCAAGGUUAUGCCAGAGGGUUGGGAUGGUACCACCAGAGAUUUGGACGAAGUCCACUAUGAGAUCUCCAUGAAAGAAGAUGAAAUGCUUUAUCAAGAAUUUGUCCAGAGGAUGAACUUCAACAAAAAGAAAGUAAGUUCCAUAAGCCUCACAUUUCCAUGAGAGAGAGAGAGUCCAACGUUGAAAAUAAUAAAAAAAAAUUUAGCUAGUUCUGUAUUACAAAGUAUUACUGCUAUAUUUGUCGAGUCUUAAGUGACAGAUUAGGUGAGUCUUAACUGGUGAUGUUGGUUGACAAUUAGGUAACUGAAGUUAAGUGCCAUGCCCAGUUGGGUCUUUACAGCUUUUGAUUGUUUACCGUAUGGGUUUGCCUGUGGUUCCACUUUCUGGUUAUUGGAGUUGAAUUUAGUGGGAUAUUGGUUGAGUCUUAACUGAUGAUGUGGGUUGACAGAUAAGGUGAUUGAAGUUUAAAUGCCAUGUGUGAUUGGAUGUUUGCAGCUUUUGAUUGUUUGUGCUGUGGAUUUGUCUAUGAUUCCACUUUCUGGUUCUUAGGAGAUGAAUUUAGUGGGAUAUUGGUUAUCAAGUGAGUACGGGGUGGUAUUUUGCCAAACAGAAAAGAAUGGCCACUGGUAAGGUAAAGGAGCUUGGGAAUUUUUGGACACUCUGGUUCUAUUGACUCGCCAAAUGUGGGGUGGUAUUUUGCCAAACAGAAAAGAAUGGCCACUGGUAAGGUAAAGGAGCAGGGGAAUUUUUGGACACUCAGGUUCUAUUGACUCGCCAAAUGAAAGAGGCUGUGCUGCUUGUCUUUGCUCCACUUUCUUUGCCAUUAAAGACUGGUGUUGAUAACCAAGGUUUUGCAUAGGGUGAUUCGAGUCUUUUUUUUUUCUCUGUCUACGUUCUGCCCACUGAGCUGCAGAUUGACUCUGCAGUUUUGUAAUGUACCUCCAUAUUUUCUGUUCACGCUUUCUUUGGCCCUUUAACUGAUGGUUUCACUUGUGUGUAGAUGAAAGGGGAGGUUUUCUGCCACAAGCAUAGUCGUCGUCGUACUUCGGAUGGGUGGAACUUUACAGUGGAGAAACUAGGACCCAGAGGAAAGCGUGGAGGUGGUGGUGGCUGGAAGUUUGUAAGCCUGCCAGAUGGUUCCAGCCGACCGCUGAAUGAAAUGGAGAAAAUGUACGUGAAGCGAGAAACACCCCGCCGCAGACGCAAGAUCCUUCCCUGAUGAUGAAGUCUUUUGUUAUUGAGUUAGAUGUUACUUAUAAGAAUAUUUGUAGUAGUUGCAAAUUGUGUGUUCUGCUCCAUCUGCAUUUCUACCAUUGUUAAUCAUAGACCUUUUUCUCAGAUUUUUGUCAUUGUAUCUUUUGCUUAGGUUUAUGGUUCAGCAACCUCUUUCCUUCCCACUACAACUGAUUCACUAAUAAUAAUCACGGAGCGAUAUCUUUAGAGCAACUCCAACCGAUAUGUUAAAAGUGCCAUAUAGACAUUUAACGGCUAGAAAUAAUAUCUUACAUUAUUCUAACCGAUGUGUCAAAGCUGAUGUGGAUUGAAGGUUGAAGGUUGAGAUGUUAUUUUUGACAUUUCAAAAGUAAGAUGUCAAAUUAAUAUUUUAUUAUUAUUUUUCUUUUCUUUUUAAUUAAAAAUAAAUCAACACUAAAAUGUAAUAAAAUAAUAAUUUAAUUUGACAUAUCGGGUGGAGUGUAAAGUUAUGUAAGAUGUAAAAUUGCCACAUCAACUAUCAAAUUUAAAUUUAAUGUUUGAUAUUUGACAUCUCCUUUAGAGAUGCUCUAUAUAUCAAAAAGUUUGAUGUCAAAUAUUAUUUUAAUAUUUUCUUUUUAGUCAUGAACCUUACUAUCAUUUAUUAUUUUAAAAAUUUCUGCAUCAUAUGGGCCUUAUUUAUUUUUAAAAAUAUAAUAAAAAUAUAUGAUAUUUGGGAUUUCGAGUGGAGUUUUAAAUUUUUUCUAAAACUUCAAAUUGUCACAUAAGCCAUCAAAUUCAAAUUUAACAUUUUGCAUUUCACAUCUCCCUCGAAGAUACUCUAACUAAUUACAUUACUUUUAACUCUUAUUGAUAGCCAAGUUUACUGUGGUUGUGUUAACCUAUAAAUAACUUGAUUUUUCUAGACUCUCUCUCAUCACCUCUCUUUCCUCUGUUUUUUUUUUUGUUUUUUUUAUUUUUAAAAUCAUGAGUCCGUCACAUGUAAAACACUUGUAGCUCAAUAUCAUGUUAGUAGCCGUUGGUUGAUCUAAAUGUUAAUUAUUCGAAAAGUAAAUAUUAUUUUAUAAAAUAUAAUUAUUUUUCUUUUUCGGACAAAUAAUAGAAUAUAUACAAGAUACUUUUAUUAUGGGGCCAAUACAUCCGCAACAAAACUACACCUUACAUGGGGUUAGUCACAACUAAAUAUCGAACUUAUCACAAAUUUAUAUAUCAUCAUCGCUAUCCAUAUAAGUCAAACUAAGACCUAUUACCAUCAAGUGGAACAAUAUACCACUAGACUAAAAAUUUAGUUGGUUAAAAAAAAAACAUUAUUUGACUCGGAUAUCUUUUAUCAUGCUUAAUGAAAUUCCAAAUUUAUUCUAUACACAAAUAAAAAAUAUACAAGCAGCGAUAGUUUGCCGCGCUCAGCUUGUUAAAUAUCAAUUGUUACAAUUAAUUAUCAAUUAAAGAUUAGCAUAAACUACGAUAGUAAAAAACAAUAAGAUUCUUUAAUAUUACUUUCGUUGAGUUUAACCUGCACAAAUCACCCAAUUAGUUACCACCAUUCCCGCCAUGAAAGUGAUGACUAUUGAAGGGAAAAAAAAGUGACAUUGGGAUAAAUCAGAUCAGAUAGCAUAGAUGAUACAUCUUUAUGAGGAAAAAAAAAAGUUGGACUUUUUCUUCUUUUUUUAUAUAUUAUUUUCCUACCUUUCUUCUGUACAUGCGUACUGUAGAGAGAGAGAGAAGCACCAACAGGCACCGAAAUAACAGAAAAAAGCAACAUGGUCAUUUUGUAGAGCAACCAUGAACAACAAGAGCAAUCAAAGCUCCGACAGAGAAGAAAAUCAGUCGAAGAAAGAAAAUCCUAUCUCAACCCUCGAUUCAAGAUUCAACCAAACCCUCAGAAAUGUUCAAGGGUACCAAUCCAGUUCCUUGCGUAUAUAUGAUUUUUGUUAAUUUCUCAUUUCUUAUUGAUAUUUGCUUGUGAUUUUCCUCAGAUUUGAAAACCCAUUCAGGAAAAGUUUCUAUCUUUCCAAUCAACUAUUAAACUGUCACUAAUUAGAAUGCCGUUUCUCACUCGUUAAUGGCUCCAAUUCAUUACAUUGAGGAUUUGACUUGGUCCUAACACGUAAAGUAUAGCUUUUGAUUUUUCAAAUUGUGAGAGUUGGUUGAGAAAAGGAUUAUGGGAUUUUUUGGUUUCGAUAUAUUAGAUCAGAAUCAGUGAGAAAAGUAGUGUGAUUUGGGAGAUCUCUGUUCUUAAAUUGGAUAAAUUCAUUCAUGCUCCGUUCUUUUUGGUUGGUGGGAAAAUGUGGCAACACAGAAGCAAUCAGACCAUUUUAAUUUAGAGUGAAUAUGUGAUUCAUAGUUCUGAUCUGUUGCUUCUGCUUAGUUUACUCGGCCACCGAUUUUGUAAGAUUGACCUCAAAUUGAUGUCACAUACCGGAAAAUUGGUGGGGAUUACAUUCUGACUUUUACUGGAUUUAUUUUCUUGAUUCAAGCAUUUGCUAAUUUGUCUUAGAUUCGUAGUGUAAAAUAGUUUGGUUCAUUAUAUGUAAUAAUCAUAAGUAUGGUGAAAAUUCUGGUAUAUUAUUGCCAUUAAUAUUAUCCAAAUCUGGCAAAUUGUAGAUAUAAUUGCAUUUGGUAUUAAAAUGCCCUUGUUGUGCUUAUCAAAUUGAUAAGAACAUUGCAUUAGAUUUUCUAAGCCUUCUAAGUUAUAAAAACAUGACUCCUUUCCAUUGUUUCAUUAUAUAAUUUUCUAUCUGAUAUCUCUAGUGUCUGGAAUCCUAGCAGUUUGUGAUGAAAGCUAAAUGUUGUUCUAAACAAAUCAAACGUAUUGUUUGUCAAAUUAGUUCAAUAUCUUAUUAUUUAUGUUUUGAUUAUAUUUUUCUGAUAUCUAGGUUGCUCAAAGGUCGUAGUAUGCCUGGUAAAGUAUUACUAACCAGGAGAUCAAAUGUGCUAGAUCAUUCAAAAUUACAAGAACCCUCACUCAAUUAUGGAAGGAGCUUCUCAUUCAAUGAUGCUGAUACAAGUGAUCACAUAGCCAAGGCGUUAGAGGUUUAUUUUGAUAUCCUUUUUGUCUAAUAAAUUUGAAAAGAACAUACCAUUUGCCAUAGUUGAUUGGCUGGAAAUUCUACUAAUACUUUUACUUCUAAAAUAGGAAGAAGUUGAAAGCCUAAGCAAUCCCAACAAUAAUGCAAAUUCAAAUAAGUUAAAAUCAUCAACUUCGAAUGUUGAGAAUCUUUCCAAAGGAGCUCAAAAAUCCGUCAUGGGAGCUAGAGCUACGGAUUCUACAAGAGUUAUGAAGUUCACAAAGGUCCUUUCAGGGACAACAGUCAUAUUAGGUAUAAGGACUCUCUCUUUAAACUUCCCCCCUUUCCCCUGCUUUUCUUCUCUCCCGCCACUAUAUUCAUGAAGGUUAUAUAAAGGUAAAAUGUGUUUUUUUUUCUCAGUAUGUUCUGAUGGUGCUUCGAUGAUUUCUUAGAAUCUGUUAAUAUCCUCUUAUUUCAUUCCAUCCAUGCAAACCCUAUAGCCAUACACUACAACUCCACAUGAGUUCUUGUUUUUCCCCUCCAAAAGGAUAGUGCUUCUCAGAAACCAUAAAAAUGCAUGGCCAAGCUUCCAUGAACAUUUUGUGCCAAAGCUUUAAAGAAGCAGAGCAAUGGAGAAAAAAGGGUCAAUAUUUCAGCCUCCCCUUUGCACAUAAUACACCCAUGAGGAGAUAGAUUAACUUUAGGUCUCUUUUGAACCACAAGUAUUUACUCUACCACGAGCAAUAAUCUAAAGAAUAUUUUUACACAGUACUUUUGCCCCUCCAAAUCAUAUGAUAGGGGUUGAAAAGGGGGAGAGAUGACUCAUCAAUCAACCUAUGUAAAAUAACAACUAAAAUGCCCAAAGACUUAAGAGUCCAAUUCUAUCUAGUGUUAAAACUGCUAAUGAAAUCUAAUGAAAAAUUCUCAAUCAAAGAGAGUCUUGAACGAAGCUGCAAAUUUCUAUAGAGAUCUCCAGCUUUAUGGAAAGGAGACAUAAGACUUAUUGGCAAUUGAUACAUUAUGAGAGUUGGGUAGUCUAUAAAGACACGGAAAAUUUGCACACAGGAGACUCCCUGCUAUGCACGGGACCUCCCAAAACCUAAUCUGUCCCUAGUCCCCAGUACUACACGGAGAUAAGGAGAGAACAAAAUGAUACCCUGGCAUAUUGUUUGUUGCGUUUUAGCUUCACAAUGUUGUACAGUCCUAUCAUCAUGAUUAGUGGGCAUCCUUAUGAUGUUAAAUCUAAAUUUCACACUUGUUAUUGUUACUGGUAUGCAGAAGCAUUUCAUUCUGGCAGCUUAGGCCACUAUUUUGAUUAAUCUGUUACCUUUACAAAUUUCCUUUUAGCACUAAUUGAGCUGUGGAUAUAUAUUUUUGUUUCCUUCUUUUUCGAAUUUUUGUUUCCUUCUUUUUUGAAUUUAGUCUUUAAUUGUUUAUGUAGAGAAGUUGCAUGAGUUGGCUUGGAGUGGGGUACCACCAUAUAUGCGGCCAGAUGUAUGGAGGCUUCUUUUGGUAAGCUCGCUGCCUCUAUAUUAAUGACAUAGAAGCUGCAAGGUCCUCCUUGUGUCCCACUUUCUUUAUUUACCUUGUCUUUUCCUUUUGUAUUCUGUAUUUCUUUUCAUUGCAAGUUUAAAACGUUUGAUGCAUGCAGUUGGGUUAUAGGUGUCUAGUUCAUUCAGUGGUGUCCAAUGUUCAGCCCAUGCUUUGAACUUGAAGUUUUAUGCAUGUGUUACUUUGUUAUAUCACUUUUCGUUUUAACUUCUUUCUUUCUUGUGAAUUUUUUUUUUCUCUAUAAUUGGAGUGGAAGUUCUGAAGUAUGUAUUUGAAGAUAGCAUUAUGUCUUAGAAAAGGGGUUCACUUUAUUUGCCUUUUUGUUAACCUGGAUUGCCUUUAUCUAGUAAACAUUGUGGCUUUUUUGAAUUUAAAAUAUGAACUGACAACAGGGAUAUGCACCAUCUAAUUCAGAUAGAAGGGAGGGAGUUCUAAGAAGGAAACGCCUUGAGUAUCUUGACUGUGCUUCUCAGUACUAUGACAUUCCGGAUACUGAGCGGUCAGAAGAUGAGAUAAAUAUGCUUCGCCAGGUGUUUUAAAUGUUAAAAAAGCUCCCAUCUUUCUUAGUUCUAAUAUGUGGCUCCUGGUUUUUACAAUUACCUUUGUUGUCCUUAUUAGAUUGCUGUUGAUUGCCCAAGAACUGUGCCAGAUGUAUCUUUCUUUCAGCAAGAGCAAGUCCAAAAAUCCUUGGAGCGCAUCCUUUACACAUGGUUAAUACUACAUUUGCCCAUAUAUUCUUGGUCAUUGCUGUAUUUUUUGUAACAUCGAAUGUGUUCAUACAAGGAAAAGAGAAAUGAUUGCAUGAAGUGUUACUGAUUGUGCUAAGUUGCAUCUAUUUGGUCUGCUGAUUCCUAAUAACGAAAGUGUAAAAUCUGCAACUGAUUUAAAGGCGUAUGAUUUAUUAAUCUAGGAAUUCCAGUCCAUUUAUCUUUGUUAUAGGGUUCAUCUAAGGGGCUUUGGUUCAUUACACAUGUUGAUUAUCUUGAAAUGACAGCAUGGAACAGUUAUACAAUUUUUUUUUUUCUUCUACAUUUUGUCCUGUUUAGAGAUUUAGAGGUUCGCUAUUACUAAUCAGACAUGAAUGAGAAUUUCUGUCUUUGCCCUAUUGGUUUUCCCAAAGUAGGUCUAGCUCUGAACUGUCUGAGAUAGUAUGUCAAGUUGAUAGUGAGUUGUUUAAGUUAAUAUGUACAUGUUCUCUCUACACUAUCUUUAGGUAGGUUUAAUGUUCUUGACAUUGUGCAUUUAGAGGGCUGGCAUGGGGCAUGAUUCUCAUAUUGUAAUUGUCACUUAACUAUACAUGUUUGCUACAUUUCCGCUGCUAUUUAGUCAUUUUAAUCAGGAUGUUUAAAGAGCCUAGGUUUAUUUCAUGGGGUUUUCAUGGUAGGUCUCUAUGUAGAUGUGGACCAAGCAGGGAGAAAUAGUGAGUAGUGACAAAAGCUCUUCUAUACGCAUAACUUGCCUCAGUUAUGUGACGCUUCCUUUUUCUUCCCUCUUCUUCCUCUAAUUGAGAAAUUUAGCCUAUCAGAUGCAGAUAACAAUUCCUGGUACCUUGAUAGCGUGAAUUGUUUCUAUUUUAUUUUCUGAGCAGUUUUUGGAGUCCAACAGUUUAGCUUCAAAACAAAAAAAAAAAAAAAAAAAACUGGUCUAGAUGUGGAGUAUGGUUUCAAGAUGCCAUCAUUUUAUUAUUUUUUCUUUUUCUUUAAUUAUUUGAUUUUUAUGAUUAUUAGUUAUGUCUUUUCAAGUUACUUCUCAUGUAUUUCAGGGCCAUUCGACAUCCUGCAAGUGGAUAUGUUCAGGGAAUAAAUGAUCUUGUUACUCCCUUUCUAGUUGUUUUCUUGUCCGAAUACUUAGAUGGGAGUGUGGAUAAUUGGUCGAUCUCCGAUUUAUCUCCUGAUAAAAUAUCUAAUAUAGAGGCUGAUUGCUAUUGGUGCCUAUCAAAUUUACUAGAAGGUAUGCAAGACCAUUACACUUUUGCUCAGCCGGGAAUCCAGAGGCUUGUGUUUAAGCUAAAGGAAGUGGUCAGGCGGAUUGAUGGUAACUCCCAUUUUUUGCUUUUAUUUUCUGCUUCUUGCACGCUUUUUACUGGAUCAAGUGAAUCAACCGAUGCUUCUACGCUUGUAUAUGUACUUAUAAGCUUCAUUUUGGUUAAUUUUGCUAGACCUAUUUUGAAUAGGGAAGUCUAUUUUUGGCUGUCUCUUCUAUUAUGUGUGGGGUUGGCUGAGAUGUGGGAUAGAGUGAAGUUUUGGGCGGCGUUAUGGGCUUCGGUUACUCCUGUUUUUAAGGAUUUGGCUGUCUCUUCUAUUAUGCGAGAUUUGUUAGCGGUUGUGAAGUGAUAUGUUGCUAUUUUCUCUUUUCCUGGGUGGCCUCCUUGUUUGUUCUUGUCCUUCUUUCCUUUGUUUGUUUUGGUCUUGAGAUUGCUGUUUUCUUUUGUUUUGCUCUUGUGGAUUCCUUAUCCACUUGCUUGUUUCUUUGUUUAUCUCUUUUGAAUUUAUAAAGUUUCUAUUCAAUAAAUAAAUAAAUAGGGAAGUCUACUCUGGCGUAAUUUUCAUUAUGGAAAUCUCUUUGCUUUUCUGUAUGUAUAUUUGGACUUAUACACAGCCACCAAGAGAUACAAAUGGCAUGGCUUCACAUAUGGCUUUGGCCGGGCUAAAGAAUGGAAUGUUUUAAGCAUGUAGAAACAGAUCAAAGGAAGUUUAUAUUUGUAGUGUUAAUUCAGAAACACUAUAAUAAAAGAAAAGAAAUAUGCUUCAUAUAAUUUCCCCAAAAAGAAAAUGCUUCAAAUAUUAUAAUGAAAAAUCAAAUAGAUUGUUCGUUAUAUUAGGCGCACUGGGGCAUUUUCAGUUUUUCUGAAUCUCAUGAUGCAAUAAAAUGUUGUUGCGCAUCAUAUUAUAGUGAGAGUUUGUUAUAAGUGAAUUCUGGCGAGAGCAGUUUUUGGGGUGUUGGUUUUGUUGAAGGAAAGACCAACUUUUGCUCUUAUACUCAGACUUCCAUUUAAUAUCUUCAGACACUGGCAAUACCUCAUGCUCUAGGAUGCAUGAAACACGUCAAAGUUCUGCUAUCAUCUUUGAUGUACGUACUCAUUAUUUUUUUCCUCUACUGCACUAGAACCUGUAUCCAGACACGUGGAGGAGCAAGGGCUGGAAUUUCUUCAAUUUGCUUUCCGGUGGUUCAACUGUCUUUUAAUACGCGAGGUUUGCUUCUACAGAUCUCUUCUCUGUACUUGCUAUAGUUUCCUCUUUGUAAAAUAUAUUUGUGCGCAGUGCAUAAAGUUGACCAACUGUAAUCUUGAGGUUUACUUGAAUUGUGGUAGAAUAAUUCUAAACAGAUUUGGCCUGGACCUGUGCUUUUAUCAUUUAUUGCAAAGCUAAUGGAAAUUCUUUCUUUUUGCUGCUUAGAUUCCUUUCCAUCUCAUUUCUCGUCUGUGGGAUACCUAUCUUGCCGAAGGAGAUGCAUUGCCAGAUUUCCUUGUGUAUAUAUUUGCCAGUUUUCUUUUAACGGUAAGAUAGAAACUGUUACCACUGCAAACAUAUAGUUUCCUUGGUUUCAUUACGUAUUUGGAUGCAUUAGCUGUGAGCAUGUGAUAAGGAAGCGUGUACUUUUAUUUAUUUGUCCAUUAACAAGUUCGCUGUCCAGUUGGUAAAUGAUGGGGGGGUCGAGAGGCUAUCCUUCUUGACAGAUUUGGUUAUGGAAAAAAAUCUCAUCGUUUAUGAUAAUUUUGACUCUUUAUAUAAGGUUUUAAAGACCUUUUGAAUUGCAUUCAUGGCAUGCAACACGUUCAUCACUGAAAUGCACUGUAGAUUACUUUCCAUUUAACAGAAAUGGUGGACAUAAAUGCAUUCUUGCUCACCAAUCAAGUAUCACUAUGCACAAGGUAGCCUUAUAUAUAUCAUUAGCUUUUUUGCUAUAUUUCCUGGCCCAUGUUUACCAUUUCUCCAGGGUUUUUCUGUACUUGUAUACCUUAUGGGGUGGUAACUACUUUUGGGUGGUGGUUCUAUUGAGAUCCCUUAUUGGUCCACUAAUUGUUUUACUUUGUUUUUAUUCUCUCAACUUCAAAUUUUACCUUUGAAUAAAACUACAACACUUUUCCUUUUUGAAUAAAUUGUAGAUUCAUAUAGAAUGACUUUUGUUCCUUUGUUACUUUUCUUUUGCUCGAGUCAAUUUGACAGCUGAUAAUCUGAAAGGCUAUUUUCUGUGUUAUUUGGCUAUAUAUUCCUUUAUAUUCUUGCUGUAAAGCCAUGGUCUGCUUAAACUGCUCUAAAUUUUUCGUUCAUAACAGAAUUGAUGCCAAUAACUUGAAAUCCACUAUGAUUUGAUAUGCAGUGGUCAGAUGAGCUUCUGAAGCUUGAUUUCCAAGAGUUGGUUAUGUUUCUUCAACACCUUCCCACUAAUAACUGGACUCACCAAGAGCUGGAGAUGGUGCUUUCAAGAGCUUUCAUGUGGCACAGUAUGUUCAAAAGCUCUCCUAGACAUUUGGCCAGCUAAAAAAGGAAUUUGUAAUAUUCAUUAUCUACCGUCAUCUCUGAAUUUUGGCUUUUUUUUUUCUAUUUAUAAUUUUCCGUUUUGUUGUUCUUGAUGUCGUUUACUACAAUUUUUUUCUCAUAUGGUGGAGGCCCCUGGCACCUUGCCCAUAUUAUAUGUAUCAGGUGUCUCUAAUAUUUGUAUUUGCAAGCAUUUCUUUGUAGAUUUGCCUUUGAGCAAUGGAGGAAAAGAAAAAACAGACUUUGUAUUGAUUUGUUCUUACUUCAUUGAACAGAGCCGACGGAACCCGUAAUCGAAGACAUUUCUCGUAAUUGUUAUUAAUGUUGACCACAAAGUCCGGGUACAAUUUCUUCAGCCACCCAUCUGAAGGUGCUGCCAUGGAAGCUGAUGGCUUAGCAAGUUUUUCUUUUUUGAAAUAUUAACAUAUAACUAUAGGUAAUUUUAGAGAGUAACAAAAUUGUAAAUAAAACAAUUUAAAGGUACGUGGGUGGCAUGAGUAGUUUAUUGGGUGACAGUACCGUCACUCUUUCUUAAAAAGAAAAGAAAAUGAUGGCAUGGAGGCCCAAUCGAACAUAGAGUGCUCUUAAGGCCCAGGUUUUAGUGGUUGAGCUGGAACAAACCAACCCUUUAACCACCUUUCUUGUUUCGGUCAUUUACUUUGUGUUGUACACCGUUUUGAGGUUAGGGGAUACUAAAUUAAACAAAAGCCAUUGUUUAGUACAACACACACUCAUAUUGGAAAUAGGGUGACAACCAAACUAAUUUUUUACUUGAUACAAAAUCCCUAAUUUUAAUUAUAUACUCCAUCAUUUUACAUUUUAUAUUAACUAUCUACUCAUUAUCGAUCCUAGCAAAAAAAUUGAACGAAAUGUACUUUAUUAAAAAUACUCAUUAAGAUUUUGAACGGUGCAAAAUUUAGAGUUUAAGUACGAUAAUAAGAGAUGUUGAAAGGGUAGCAAUGAUGGUGAGAAAGGGAAAGAAGAAAAUUACAAAGAAAGAAAGGGGCACUUUAAAAUUUGGUUAAGAAAAGUAUGAUUGUAUUAAUAAGACAAUAGCCUCAAAGAAGAUUGAGAGGAGGAGGAGGGGACUCUAUUUUCAAAGGAAAGUUUAAAGAGAGUUAUUAUUCACACUUUACAAAAGUCAUCGUGCACUCAUUCCUUACAUAAAUAUAAAAUAGAAAUUGCAAAUGGAGGAGAGCAAGAUGUCUUUUUUAAAAGUGAUAAUAACAAUUCCCAAUUUACAUUACAAGUAGACAACAUAGAAUUAGAAUUAUCAACAAAGGACCCAUUACUGUUGUGGUUUGGAGCAAUUGUUCCUUCCGGGAAAGCUUUGGAUUCGAGUCCUAGCAUUAGUAUAAUAUAUGUGAAUUUAAUAUGCUAUCACCCCUCUUAAUAGAAAGGUCUUGAAAAAAAAUUGGCAAAAUAUAUUGUUUCUAUACAUAAGUAUUUGUAUACACAUCCUUUAUAUAAGAAAUGACAAAAUAAUGGAGUUUUAUUGCCUGCCAAUCUUAUCUAUUGCGUUGUUAGAUUUUCAAUUUAGGGCAUUAUUUAAUUACAAAUCUACUUGCUAAUCUUAUCUUAUUGCGUUGUUAGAUUCCAAUAUAAGAGAUAUUUAAUUAAAAAUCUGUUUAGUUGAGCUACAGUCUCGCAACAUAACAUGUUAGAUUUUCUUGUAAGUAAAUAUGUUUCUUUACAGUUCAAAGAAAGGAGCCUUUUUGUGAUUUUUCUAUUUUAUUUUUUCUUAUUCAAAUAAAAUCUUUAAUUUAGGAGUUGAGUUUAUCUAUGCCACCACCACAAGAACCAUGACAAAUAAGGAAAUCAAAAUGUCUAAUCCACAUCACCUUUGAACCUUGAUAAGCCACACCACACAUGACACACGACAAUAAAUUCCCAAUAAAACCGUUAGGUCGGUAGGAUGACGCCACGUGUGAACCUUCAAUAUGGCAGAAGAUCAACGACAGCCAAUGCACGAAACGUACGUAGCUAUAUCAUAUUUGACACGCAUAAAGGCUCCUGCAACGGUAAGAAAAACAAGGCCUUAUGGGCAAGUCUUUAUAACGCAGGCCCCUUACCAGCUUUUGUUUCCAUCUUCUCUCUCUCCUUUCCCUACUUUCUUUCUCUGCGGAGAUCUUCUUCUUUCUUUGGUGCUUGUGCAUCUAAAUCUCUAUCCCUUUCACUUUCACUGCUUAUAUAUAUACAUAUAUAUAUAUACAUACAGGGCAACAGAAACAGUGAGGCUGAUCAUCUUGUUUUCUGAUUUGUUUGUUUUCAUUCUUCUCUCAUGGAGUUUGGGAGAUUUGCUUGGCUUGUGUUGCUGGUUUGCUUUGGCUUGUGUUUCUCUUCCACACAAGGAAACAGAUUCUAUGUUGGUGGGAAAGAUGGGUGGGUCUUGAACCCCUCUGAUAACUACAUCCACUGGUCUGGGAGGAACAGGUUCCAGGUCAAUGACACUCUAUGUAAGAUGCUCAAAUCUCUCUCUCUCUCUCUCUCUCUCUCUCUCUCUCUCUCUAAUAUUUUAUAGGUUCUUCGUUUUUGAUCAUUUUCUGAGUCUGAUCCUCUUUAGAUGUCUUUUUGUUCGUAUUGUGCUUAGUCUAAAAUUACAUUUAAACUCUCAAACUGAAAACAACGUUGUUUCAGACAUAUAUCAGAAGAGAAAAUGACACUUUGUGUUAGAUGCGCAAAUAUCUGGCUAUUUCCUGAUAUCGAGCUUAUGCCUAAAACGAAGACAUAGUAGGACAAAAAAUUUAGAACAUAAAUUAGAGAUCCUAUAUUUCUGCUUAAUUUUUUGGAUUAGUUUGGAAAUUUAUAAUUGUUUGUUCGAAUGCAUGUGACACAUACAGAUUUCAAGUACAAGAAAGGAACAGACUCAGUGCUUGUGGUGAACAAGGAUGACUUCUUCAAGUGCAACACCAAGAACCCAAUUCAGAAGCUAGAUGGUGGUGACUCAGAGUUCACUUUGGAUAGGUCUGGGCCAUUCUACUUCAUCAGUGGGCAAAAUGGUAAUUGUGACAAGGGCCAGAAACUCUUCAUAGUUGUCUUGGCUGUUAGGCAUCACAACAAACCAAACCCUCCUGUUGCUCCCACAACUCCCCCUAGCACCAGCCCUACCUCCCCAUCCCCCAAAUCUCCAUCUCCUCAGUACCCUCAUCACCCUCCUGGGACCUCACCAUCACCAGCAUCAGUGGCUAACCCUCCAGCCACCUCACCAUCACCAGUAGUGGCUAGCCCUCCUGCCACCUCCCCAUCACCAGUGGGCUACCCUCCUGCCACCUCCCCAUCGCCAGUGGGCUACCCUCCUGCCACCUCACCAUCACCAGUGGGCUACCCUCCUGCCACCUCACCAUCACCAGUGGGAUACACUCCUGCCACCUCACCAUCCCCAUCAACAACAACAUCUCCAGCGCUAGCGCCAGGUCCAUCUUCAUCCCUUACACCAUUUCCUUCUCCACCCUCACCGCCCCCCGAGGGGCCCACACCGCCCUCCGAGGGGCCCACACCGGCCCCGUCCGCAGAGUCUGCGGGCCCCACACCACCGGGAACCGUUUCUCCGCCGCCCGGGACAGCGGACUCGACGGCUCCGAGACCGGCGGGGAGUGGAGCGUCGCAUAGUGUAACGGCUCCUUCGAGCGUGCUGGUGUCU
rnacentral:lncRNA from 1 species